UUGAUCGGACUAGGUUUCCAAACAAAAUGUCCCAAGGAUAUCGGAACAUCAAUGGCGUCCAUGUCAAACUCAAAAGAUCGGAGUGCUUGAUGACAUCGAGGUACACGGUGGGAAGUCCUUUGCCAAAUUUUCCAUCACCUCCCUUUGUAUCAUUUCUGGAUCUGCUCCUUUUUCCAUACCUUUAUGAAUGGAAACGUUAGGGAUCAAGGAGGAUUAGUAAGCUACUAUUGAAGGAGCCAUCGUAAUCUCAGCGGAAGAUAAAAUGGAAUAUAUAUGGUACCUUUAGGAGGACACGCCGCUAUGAAGAACCAGUACACUUCCUUAUCAUUGAGAGCAAUAAAAACCUGCCCUCUUGCCCACAUUCACAAAAUGUUGAAACACAUGGCCAUGGUCAAAACCAUGACCCUUUGGGAAAACGGACAACCCCGUACUGCCGACCGGCCUGAAUAGAUCGGCGGGCAAAGUCCAAGCCAAUGGGCCAAGAUAGAGUGCACGCCAUCAUAUCCUAUAACAACCUACAUGUAUAGUACUUACAGUGUGGAUAAGUUAAAGUCAUUAAGUUAACCUCAUUAUAUUUGAAUUCAAAAGAAGGUUCUCUAGAAAUUGUAGGGACAAGCUCAUGCUUGGCAGCGUCAAUUCCAGUGCAGGAAGCCAAAUAGAAGUACGAAUUGGGAGUUGCCGCAAGAGCAGGCUGUAUCCGGUUCACGGGCUCUGCGACCGAACGGAACUCCGCGACCGAACGGAACUCCAAAGUUCCAACACAUGUCGAUGGAAGAAGGGGAGUGAAAACCAUGUGAUUUCGGGGGGAAACGCACACGAUAUAAUAUAUGCUCAUAUCAAGCCCCUUCAUAAACCGGUAAGCCGCCCAAUCGGCACCAAGAACGACCACCCUUGGCUUUUCUCCAGGCUUAGUCGGUUCAAGACCUGGAUAUCUGUCCCUCUCAUAUUCAGAAUCGGACUCUGCCAAUGCCCUCUCGGCGACGAGAAAUUGAUCAAGUGGGGUUGUCCUAAUUCCUCUGCUCCAGUUACUAGCAUAAUCUAACUUACUCGAUGGUAAGCGGUCGAAAAAAUCACUUCUCGUGGGGACACUUUUGAAAGAAGAAAAAGAAAAUGAAUUCGCAAGUACUCCUCUAAAAAUUUAUUCUUUUCCAUCUGCAAGGCUCCCAACAGCACCUCCUGUUCUUCUCAGGUUGCCCCGAACAAUUCUUGCAAAUGCCAUAGAGUAAAACACUAAUAAUUCAAAUGCAAGUCAAUCGCCUGGAUCUUUAGGCCUAUUGAUGAAAUUGCACCUGAGAGAAAAGAGAGGCUUGGGCUUAAUGCUAUAAGAAAAGCAGAAACAUAUAGAGAAAGAUUAUGCAAUCACUCCAUGAUAUCAGGAGGAGGUAAAGACAACAUGUAGAACAAUUGGAGUUUGGUCCAAGCAAAAUGAAGACAACUAAUUGGUGAGUGACAACUAUUUCUUCAAUGACUUCUAAGACAAAAACAAGAAGCCAACUUAGCUUGAGGCUUGGGCUUAACCGCUGUCUUCGCCCGCUUCUCCUCUGGCCUCCAUUGCCUUUGCCCGCCUCCUCCCUGUCCAACUCCUCCCGUGCCCCCUGCGCCGGUGGAGGUCGAGGCCCCCCGCGGCGUGGACAACCCGCGCCGCCACCUCGCCCGCUGCCUUUGUCAACCACUUGGAUUCAAGACCUAAGGUUUGAGCCCGAAUGAUGGAGGACCGAGACGGCGGUGAGGCGGUGGUGGAAGGCAAUUCACGGGGGUUAAAGUUGACGGCGAGUCUGAGUUGAUGUACGUUUGUUGUCAUCACGGCGGAGCAAAAGGAAGAAGGUGAAGAGAACAAAAAAAAAAAAAAAUCAAAGGGAGAAAGGAUGCAGGGGCUUCCGGUGGGUGGGUCCGAAUGUGACUGUGCCACUUUGGCGGUCAUAAUUCAAUUGAAUCCUUGAAACUAUCUCAUACCAGGGUAUAAACUUUACUUCUCACAUACAUCAUAUACAUGUAAUUUUACCUUUAGUGAUGGGGGCAAUAUAUCAUUAAAAUCAUAUAUCAUGCUGAUUAUACUAUUUUAUUCAUUAAUAAAAGUUAAACUUUAUAUAUAUUAUCAAUGAAUCACGUUUUAAUAAUAUUUAUGUAAUAACAUACAUGUAAACCAACACAUGUAUUUCCAAAAUCACAUAAAAAUACAAGAAAAAUACGCAAAAAUAUUCUAAAAAUACACGUAUUUAAGGUUUCGUAUGUAUUUUCACAUCUAUAAAAUCAUCAAACGUGUAAAUAAAUACACCACAACAUAGAGAAUAAUCAUACGAACCAGUAGCCGCAAACCACGCGCCCGCACGCGCUGCUUGAGUGCACGACGCGUGGAGCACACGCGCGACCGUAAAGACCCCUCAGAUCCGAUCCGACCAAUUCCUGGCUCGACCGUCCAGUCCAACCGGUUGACCAGUCCGGUCCAUGGUUGACUGGUUCGGGCAAGUCAAUGGGUCGGGUCAGCCCCAAGGUCGCUAACGUCAUUGUGACAAUAGCCCUUGCGCGUGCAACAGAUGCAUGAGCGGCGCCUGCGCGUGGGUCAGAUAUUGAAUGGUUUUGGAUAGGAUUGACAUGGCAUUACUUGUGCACUUGAAUGGCCUGAAUCAACGAAGAAAUGGUAAGACAAUGGAGAAAAUCAAAGGAAGAGGGGAGAGGGAGCAAGAGAUAGAUCGAUCUUGGAUCGUCGGGUUAGAAAAGAAAGAAAGAAAGAAAAAGCCCUCUGAUGCUAAAUUUCCCCUUUCUUCAAAAUGUUAAAUUAAAUCUCGAUAUCACAUGAAAUUUUAUGAAGAGAGAUUAUGAAUUUGAACUCGAUGGUUUGCCUCAUGGCAAUUGAAGGAGUUUUACUCGUGACUUGGUAACAGGCGCUCCAAAGGGCCAAGUAUCAAGACCAAGCAUGCAUGGAAAGUCAUCUUUUUUUCUCAAGGUUAUUUUAUUCGCUUAUAUUGUCAAAGAAAAUACGAUGUAUGACUUGCUGAAUUUUAGCGCACCGUUCAUGAAAAAAAGAGAGUGGGAAAUCUCUUUUUGUUUGAAACUUAAAGAAGAAGGUCAAGGGUGAACAAGUUAUAUUUGGUUAGCCUUUAUUUAAAUUUCACGUAAUUAAAAAAAAUAAAAUAGAAGAUCUUGAAACCAAAUGAAAUAUAUGUAGGACGCAAACUGUGUAACCCCAAGAUCUCCAUAACUAGAAUAAGAACAUGCAUAAUUGAGUAGAAAGAUUAACGCACCUGUUUUGGGAUCCAUUGUUCUUGAAGCGGAAGCGGAAACACAAUGUUCCACGUGCAAGUCCUUCUCCUCUAUUGCCCUCCGUAUCACUAGCUCAAUGAGGCAGCCCCCCUCACGUGUAGCGUUAGGUAAACGCCCCUUAGGUGAGGAUACAUGUGAGAAUUAGGGUUAGAGGAUAGACUUGAGCACUAUUUAUAGAGUUUCUAGCCAGGCUCCCUCAUUACGAGCCAAACUCAACUCGGCCCACACUAGCCAGCCCCAUAUUAGACUAAUUAAUGAACUUUCUAUCUCACCUUAGACUAGCCUUGUUUUACGGUAGCCAUAAAAACAGUAAAUUACAAUUUCAAUUAAUGUAGUCAACAUUAGGAAAACUCUUACAUUCUCCCAUUUGGACUAUAUUAAUUGAAAUCGUACCUUAUGUGCGCACAUUGGUCCAGAGAUAAUUCUUAAUAGUCAAUCAUAUCCCAUAAAGUCUUAAACACCGAAUCAUGGCGGUAACUGCAUGUAUACACACAAAGCUUUCCAUGGUCACAAGUGCUCUCAACUUUAUUGAUAUGGAUUCAAUAUGGUAGUGUGGCAAAUGGAUAACUCUCUCAUAGAGAGAUCCCAUUUGUCAGUCACCAUUCUCUUACCUUAAGCGAUACAAAAAACUUGUGCCACUAAAGAAUGCUUUAUGGUUCCAAUGAACCUACAUAUGUCUUGUCCUUACGGUUAACAUUUCUUUAUGUAUCACAAGACAUAUGCACAAAGNNNNNNNNNNNNNNNNNNNNNNNNNNNNNNNNNNNNNNNNNNNNNNNNNNNNNNNNNNNNNNNNNNNNNNNNNNNNNNNNNNNNNNNNNNNNNNNNNNNNNNNNNNNNNNNNNNNNNNNNNNNNNNNNNNNNNNNNNNNNNNNNNNNNNNNNNNNNNNNNNNNNNNNNNNNNNNNNNNNNNNNNNNNNNNNNNNNNNNNNNNNNNNNNNNNNNNNNNNNNNNNNNNNNNNNNNNNNNNNNNNNNNNNNNNNNNNNNNNNNNNNNNNNNNNNNAUGACAUGACGAUAAAAAAACAAACAGGCGUAGCUUUAGUAGUGGAUCUGCAUCAUAUCAUCUGUAAAAAUAUAAUCUACUGCAACGUCACCAUUCUGCACCGAUCCUUUAUAGUAAAAAACUUGACCUCCAUGUGUUUGGACCCUUGAGACUUCAACACUGUAGAGUUAUUGUCACAAUAAAGCUGUAUGGGCCUAUCCACAAAAUCAAAAACCGAUAACUCUCUAAUGAGGUUCCGGAGCCAAAUAACUUGAGUAGCAGCUGAAAAACAUGCUACAAACUCUGCUUGCAUGGUAGAAGAAGAUAUGGAUUUCUGUUUUUCGCUCUUCCAUGAUAUUGCACCUCCUGCCAUCAUAAAUAUGUAUCAUGUCGUUGACUUCUUAUCAUCUUGAUAACCAACAAAAUCUGUAUCUGAAUACCCUACUAGUUGCAAAUCUGGAACAUGUCUAUAAAUCAGCAUAUAAUCUUUUGUUCUCUUUAAGUACCUUAAAACCUUCUUGGUAGCAACCCAGUGAUCGUAUUUUGGAUUAGAUUGAUAUCUGCCUAGAAGUCCAGUUACAAAAGCAAUAUCUGGUCUAGUCCAAACUUGAGCAUACAUGAUACUUCCAAGCACACUAGCAUAAGGCACGUCCUUCAUUUGAGCUUUCUCAAAAUCUGAAUUAGGGCAUUGUGAAAGACUCAAUUUAUCACCCUUAACAACAUGAGCAAUUCUUGGUUUGCAAUCCUACAUAUUGAAUCUUUCUAAAACGCGAUCUAUAUACGCCUUCUAAGACAAACCCAAUGAACGGCGUGAGUGAUGAUAUUGCUAGUAUGAGUACCUAGAGGGGGGUGAAUAGGUGCCUAAACAAUUUAUCGAUAUACGGAAGCGAUUCUUAACAUAUGAUAGAAAGUAAAUUCUCUCUUAAUUAACAAAAUGAAAUACGAUCGAGGUAGAGAGAGUGAGGAAGAUAAAAUUGAACACAGGAUUUAUAGUGGUUCGGCUUAUUCCAAGCCUACGUCCACUCUUCCGCACUGACAGCCCACCGGCUGGAUUUCACUAUGAUCAAAAGAGAAGUUACAGCACAGCUUUGCCUUGAUUCCACAGUGUGGAUGUUCUACCACACCUCAUCAAGGUCGCUCACAAAUAUAGACUCUCUUUUAUAUACAAGUAUUCGCUCAAAGGAUUUAUCUAAACAAAUAGGAGCUUCAGAUCGCCCGUUGGGAACAUAGGUGAUCUUUCCGCUAGCCNNNNNNNNNNNNNNNNNNNNNNNNNNNNNNNNNNNNNNNNNNNNNNNNNNNNNNNNNNNNNNNNNNNNNNNNNNNNNNNNNNNNNNNNNNNNNNNNNNNNNNNNNNNNNNNNNNNNNNNNNNNNNNNNNNNNNNNNNNNNNNNNNNNNNNNNNNNNNNNNNNNNNNNNNNNNNNNNNNNNNNNNNNNNNNNNNNNNNNNNNNNNNNNGACAAUCAUCGAAUCUCAAUCAUUGAAUCAAACUUGAUCAAUCAAAGGAUUCUGAUACGUCUUCUCUAGCCACGAGAUCUUCUCCAGAUGAUAAGGUUAAAUCCUGAACAAAACAUCCAGUUCUGGAUAACCUUUCUUCAACGGAUUAGAGACUGUCAAUGAGGAUAGACUUUGAGUCUUGAGUCUGGCUGUCCGGAAGUCUUCAGACUUUAACUAACAGAGUCUGCAGACCUUCAGACUAGACCGAUGGAAACGUUUUGUCAACUUCAAAACACUUUCACUAAGAUUUCUCCAACAAUCUCCCCAUUUUUGAUGGUGACAAAACCUUCCUGCAGAUUUGGAUAAUUUUGACCUGCAAAACAUUUCUCAAACACAUAUGCAUAUCUUAUAGAGAUGAAUGGCUAAAAGAUUAACACUAGAAUCUGUAACUACAUAAAAUAGGUUAGUCUAGUAUAUAAUAAAACCAUCCAUAAGAUAUCAAUACUUGUUAAUAGAAGCAGUCAAGUCCAAGUCUAGUUCAGUUCUUAUCCAGACACAAAACAAAGUCAAAGUCUGUAAAAAAUAGUUAAACAACAACACAAUCCAACAAACAGUUAAAAAAUGAUUGAAAGUUUUUGAUCAAAUCAUGCAUCUCUCCCCCUUUUUGUCAUCAUUAAAAAGGAUGAGAUGAAGUCAAGAUUGCUUGGGAACGCGUACAAGCUGGAAAUCUUCCAUAGACUAAACGAUGCCUUCCAGCCUUUUAAAGUCUUCCUUCAGCUGUACAACCUCCUCACUCUUGGCAUUGGCCUGAUUCUGAAUAGAGAGGGCUUGCAUCUUAUCAUUCAAUGAACAGGAAGAAGCUUGACUUUCAUUCUUCAAACUUUGAACUUCGCAUCCCAAGGCAUAAAUUUGACCUCGCAUUUCCAAGAGAAUAUCCAAGAUUCUGCGAAAAUCUGCUCCAUUAUCAGUCUGAGUACUUGCUUCGGCUCGAUCUGAUGGAGUAAAAGCAGACGAUGGUGGAUCAGCAUAAUCUCGCAGGUUUGGCGAUGAAGCUUCAUGACCUUCCUCUGGAAAUUGAGAUGCAUAAACAUCUUCUGGGUCUGCAGGCGAGCGAUUGACUCCUUCACUUGCAUCAGGAAAUGAAGACGUCACUCCUUCUCCUGAUNNNNNNNNNNNNNNNNNNNNNNNNNNNNNNNNNNNNNNNNNNNNNNNNNNNNNNNNNNNNNNNNNNNNNNNNNNNNNNNNNNNNNNNNNNNNNNNNNNNNUACAUGUGGAGAAGAGAUUUCCUAGUCUUCCUGGUAUCAAUGCACUUUCUUCUUUAGGUCUUUCUUCCUCUGCUUCUUGCUCUGCUUCUCUUUCUUCUUCUUCCUUCUCCUCUGCUUCUCUUUCUUCUUCUUCCUUCUCCUCUGCUUCUUUUGUCUUUUGUUCCGAUUCUUUCUGUGGAACAGGACGACUUAAGUUCUUCAAAGCCAUUGCAGAGAUGGUGAUGUCUUCGUCAUCAUCUUCAUCCUCAACGAGGAGAGCUCUUCUUCUCUUUGAUGGAGCAGCCAUGGGCUCCUUCCCUUUUCUCUUAGCAGCAGAAGAGAGUUGAUGAGAUUUGGCAGGAGUCUUCUCCUUGAAUUUCUCCAAUUCCUUGCUCAGUUCCUUCAGACGCAUUUUGGUCACCAUUUUCAGUCCUACCACCAUAUGAUCGCAUGAUCGAACACAAAAGAUUUGCAGAGGCUGAAUAUUCAGAUGUCUGAAUAACUUCGUAACAAGGCUUGGGUAAGGGAGUUGACCUCUGUCCUUCAUCACUGCUCUAUACAUGUGAAACAUAACAGUAUGAGGGAGAGAAAACUUCUUUCCACAGAGGAUGGCAUACAUCAACUUUGCCUCAGAGCUUGAAACAUCAGUUUUGGAAGUUGAUUUCGGCCGAAGGCAAUUAAUCACAAUCUUGUGAAGCAAGAUGUUGAAUGCAUUCAUCCUUGAGUAGGUGAUCUUCUCAUCUGUUCUCCUGUCCUUCACCAGUUCAAGUGUGGCCCGAGCAAUGGAAACUUUGAUUGGUUGAUAUCUGUCUCUCUCAACUUCUAACACAUCUGCCAGCAUAUUCAUAUCCACAACAUAGUCUUGUUCUUUAACGCUAAAGGAGAAUCUAUUCGCAUCUAAAAAGCUAAGAUUUGAAUAGAAAUAUGCAGUCAAUUCAGCAUAAGCCUCAGUUGAGUCAGAGCAGAACUUUUCAAGUUGAAGAUAAUUGAACUUUUCCCUCAAGUUCACUUUCACAGCAUCCAGAAAAUCAAAGUCCACACUCCUAGGGUUUAUUACCCCACGCUUCAGCAAUUUCAAGUACAGAUCCUUUUGUUCCUUUGAUCUGAACAAAUCUCCCAUUUUUCCUUGAAUUUCAGCCGCAAUACCCAUUUUCGGUUGAAAUAGACUGAACAGAUUGUCAUCGUCAUUCCCAUCUACAGGAUUCGGCCCCCAGUCACGAGGAUCACUUGGGAUAUUCGCAAGGGUUUCCUCAGCCACUCCUUUACGAGCGAUUCCCAAACUUUCCAUUUUUCGCAGAAAGAUAUAUUCGUUCUUAUAUCCUUUGUCUUUAAGAAACUCAUCAACAUAGUUCAAAGGAGUACGAAUUCCUUUUAAGGCACGAUAUAGCUUGUAAAUAAAAGCGGGCUUUUGAACUCUUACGGGGUCUGCAUCCUCGAUGAUUUCUUCCUGAUGCUGAUGAACAACGCCUUGAGGACUAGAUGGAGGAGAAUGACGCUGCUGAGAAUGUUGUGGGCUCGGUUGCUGAUCUGGAGUAACUUCAUCUUUAGUAAGAUCGAAGUGCGUAGGCCCCUCACUCAUUCUCUGUGGUCCCCUGCUUGCGAUUCUUGAGGACUUUCGUGAAGAUGACAUCUUUCUCAGUGUUUGGAAGAUUCCUUGCUUGACUUUCCUAGAAAAGAUGACAACUUUUUGAAGAUUGAGCGAAGAAGACAAACGGGAAUGGAGGAUCGAUGCUUUCUAGGGUUUUUGAGAGAAAAGUGAAUAGAAAAGUGAAGAGGAAUCGACAGUGCACAAUCGGUUAAAAAGAAGAGUAAACGAACCGUCACAAAGGAAAUAAAAAUAUGCCUUUUCAAAAUAACUGUCUUUAUCCGCAAAAAUAGCUAUUUCAAAAAUAACUUCCCUUUUGAAAAUGAAUCGAUGCAAUAUUUACGUUAAUUAAAUAUAGCAACAAUUUAAACACAGUCUGAUGAUCGUACCUUUUCAAGAUAAGAUUGGAGAGAGAAAGACUUACAGUCUGAAGGUCGAGCCAAGACUGUAGAUAAAGUCUUGUAAGCCUGAGUCUGAAAGUCUUUAGACUUUGAUAUCCUCAUACCUUAAAAUGUUGAGUCUGGACCGUAUAGACUCAAAUUGAUUUUUCUCCAAAGGCUUUGUGAGUAUAUCAGCUAGUUGAUUCUUUGAGUCAACAAAUUGAAUUGAAACAUCUCUAUUUUGAACAUGAUCUCUAAUAAAGUGAUGUUGAAUCUCUAUAUGCUUUGCUCUUGAGUGGAGAAUUGGAUUUUUGGUGAGGUUGAUAGCGCUGGUGUUGUCGCAAUUAAUCUCCGUGCAUGAGUCUUCAAUUUCAAAAUCUCUUAGCUGUUGUUUUAUCCAUAGAAUUUGCGAACAGCAGCUUCCAAGAGCUACAUACUCUGCUUUUGUUGUUGAAAGAGACACAGUGCUUUGUUUCCUUGAAAACCAAGACACUGUCCUGCUACCAAGCAACUGGCAAGUUCCUGAAGUACUCUUUCUAUCAACUCUGCAACCGGCCAGAUCUGCGUCUGAAUAUCCCAGAAGAUUAAAGUCUCCCUUAUUAGGAUACCNNNNNNNNNNNNNNNNNNNNNNNNNNNNNNNNNNNNNNNNNNNNNNNNNNNNNNNNNNNNNNNNNNNNNNNNNNNNNNNNNNNNNNNNNNNNNNNNNNNNNNNNNNNNNNNNNNNNNCAGGUCUAGAGGCAGUAAGAUAAAGAAGUGAUCCAAUAAUGCUCCUGUACAGCUUUUGAUCAACUUUCUUUCCUUCUUCAUCUUUGUCUAUCUUUAAAGAACUUGACAUUGGUAUGUCGGUCUUUUUGCACUUUUCCAGUCCAAACCUUUUGACAAGAUCAUUAACAUAUUUUUCUUGAUAAAUAAAAGUUCAUUCCUUCAAUUGUUUUACUUGAAGACCAAGAAAGAAUGUUAACUCUCCCAUCAUACUCAUUUCAAACUCAUCCUGCAUAGACUUUGAAAAUUUCUUGCACAGACUUUCAUUAGAGGAUCCAAAAAUAAUAUCAUCCACAUAUAUUUGAACAAGUAAGAAACUUUUGUUUUCCUUCUUGAUAAAUAAAGUCGUAUCUACUUUACCUUUGACAAAACCAUUUUGUAUUAGGAACUUACUUAAUCUGUCGUACCAAGUCCGAGGUGCUCGCUUUAAACCAUACAAAGCAUUUUUCAGUCUGAAGACUGAGUCUGGCUUCUUUGGGUCUUCAAACCCUUGCCACUGGAGCGUAAGUCUCAUCAUAGUCUAUUCCUUCUUCUUGCGUAUAUCCCUUGGCCACGAGUCUUACUUUAUUUCGUACGACUUUUCCUUUCUCGUUCAUCUUGUUUCUGAACACCCAUUUAGCUCCAAUAACAGUUUUACCUUUUGGUUUGGAUGUCAAUUCCCAGACAUCAUUUAUGCUGAACUGUCUGAGCUCUUUUUGCAUAGCUUCAAUCCAGCUUUCAUCAGAUAAAGCUUCUUCUAUGCUCUUUGGUUCAAUUUCAGAAACGAGUGCCACAGCACUAGACUCUUCUCGCCUUUUGGAUCUGGUGCGAAUUCCUUCAUUAAUUUCGCCAAUUAUAAGAUCUUUGGGAUGAUUGGACUUAUGCUUCCAGUUACUUGUUGAUUUGUCUGGUUGAUGAUCUCUUUCUUUAUUUGGAUCUUCACUAACAACCUGAUGCUGGUUUUCCAGAGUCUGAGAUGCUUCUUGAGUUGUAGAAUUUGGAGGGUCUGGAGCAGGUUCAGACUCUUCUUGAUGAGUCUGACUUGAUUCAUCUUGCGUUGAGUCUUGAAAUUUGACAUUCAUUGACUCCUCUACAGACUGACUCUUCUUGUUAUAGACUCUGAAAGCUUUGCUUGAUGUAGAAUAUCCAAGGAAGAUACCUUCAUCUGAUCUUUCUUCAAACUUACCAACUCGAUCUUUUGCAUUUUUCAAUAUAAAACAUUUACAACCAAAUACAUGAAAGUAUGAAACAAUAGACUUCUUUUCUUUGAAUAACUCAUAAGGGGUUUUCUGAAGAAUAGAUCUUAAGAAGACUCUAUUGAUGAUAUAGCAUGCUGUUGAAACAGCUUCAGCCCAAAAUCGAGAAGAAAUUUUACUUUCAAUUAAAAGGGUUCUAGCCAUUUCUUGAAGAGAUCUGUUCUUUCUUUCCACAACUCCAUUUUGCUGAGGAGUAUAUGGAGAGGAAAACACAUGCUUAAAGCCAGAUUCAUCAUAGAAUUUUGUAAAAUCUUGAUUUUCAAAUUCACCUCCAUGAUCUGUUCUUAUACUAGAGAUAACACAUCCUUUUUCAUUUUGAACCUUUUUAGCAAAUUUUUCAAAAUAUGAAAAGGUUUCGGACUUACUUGCAAGGAAAUAUACCCAAGUAAAACGGGAGUAAUCAUCAACAAUUACUAGGCAAUACUUCUUACCCCCAAUACUCUGAGUUCUGGUUGGUCCGAAGAGAUCCAUAUGCAGCAAUUGUAGUACAUGAUUAGUAGAGACAUAAUUUAUUGGCUUAAAAGAAUUUCUUACCUGCUUUCCCAGAAUACAUGGAGUGCAUGAAUCAGUCUUUUGGUAUGGCAAUUUGGGUAGACCUCAAACAAGCUGCUUUGAUGAGAUUUUGGCUAAUUGCUUCAUGUUGACAUGACCAAGCUUUUUGUGCCAUAAGCUUGCUUCGUCUUGAAUUGAGAUAAGGCAUUGCGAUUCAUUUGGUUUCACAUCCAGAAGAUAGAUAUUUCCAUGUCUUCGACCCAUGAAAGACUGAGUAGAGUCUUUACUGAUUCCAGAACAUGUUCCUUAUUGAAAGAAGAUCUUGAAACCAGUAUCACACAAUUGACUAAUGCUGAGAAGAUUGUAAUUGAGUCCUUCCACUAAGGAAACAUUACUUAUUGUGAGAGUUCCAAUUUUCACGGUUCCAAAUCCCACAAUACUUCCUUUGCUGUUUCCUCCAAAUGAAACUUUUCCACCAUUUACUUGAGCAAGCUUUAUAAAGCAAUUUGAGUCUCCUGUCAUGUGUCUUGAGCAUCCGCUGUCAAGAUACCACUUUACCUGUUUCUUGACGGAGACCUGCAUUUAAAAUAAAGUCUCAAGCUUUCUUUGGUACCCAAAUUUUCUUGGAUCCUUUGGUGUUAGUAAGAUAAACAGUAUUAGCCCAUACUUUCUUAACAGGUUUCCAUAUCAUAGGACACUCUUUUUCAAAGUGAUCCGGACUGUUGCACUUAGAACAUCUGAGAGCAUUUCUACCUACAGGUUUUACAAAAACUUUCUUGAAGUGAUUUUUGUAAACCUCACUUGAAAGCCUUUUCUUAAUUCUUUCUUUUACUUUAGGAAAAUCAAUCAAGGGAAUUGUUUCUUCUGUCAUACCUAGACCAGACUUAUUGAAGUAAGGUCUUUGUGCUGAAAGAAUUUUCUCAAGUUUUUCAGACCCUAUAGAAAAUUUCUUUGAUAUAUUUGAUAAGUCUGUUUUUAAAAAAACAUUUUCUUUUAAAAGAUUUUCUUCAUUUUCUUUAAGAUUGGAAACAGACAAGUCUAGACUUUUAACUCUUUCUGCUAAAACAUUUUCCUUUUGUUUUAGAGUUGAGUUUUCUUUUUUUAGUUUGGAAAUUCUUUUGAGAGAAGUCUUAAGACUAAAGCAUAGUUCAUCAAUAUAUUUAGAAACUUUGACAGGAAUUUUAAAAUUACUUGCCUCAAAUUCACUGUCUGAGUCUGAUCCAGAGUCUGAGUCUGAUUGUGCCAUCAGACAUAGAUUGGCAUAUUCAUUAUCACUUUCUUCACACUCAGUAUCACUCCAGGUUUUAGCUUUGAGAGCUUUUCGAAAUUUUUCAGCUUUUCCUCUCUUCUUCUUCAGAAGAGGACAGUUGGGUCUGAUGUAUCCCUUUUUCUUGCAUUCAAAGCAGACUACAUCUUUAUUUGGUUCCUCAUCAUCAACAGACUUGGUCUGCUGUCUUUGAAAGCUUUGUUUCUUUGAGUUGAACCUUCUUCCUUUUCUAUUUAGUUUUUUGAAUCUUCUUAUCAUGAGAGCAAGCUCCUCAUUGUCCAUAUCAUCUUCAGAAUCUGUAUCAUCAGAAUCAUCAGUUGAUUUUAAUGCAAUGGAUUUCUUACCUUUUGGAUCUUCAUCUCCAUUGAUCAUUUCCACUUCAUAGGACUGAAGAGUUCCAAUCAGCUCGUCAACAGAUAGUGGCAUAAUUCUCUGCGUCUCUCUUAUCGAAGUCUUUAUGUGAUUCCAAUCCCUGGAGAGUCCACGCAGUAGCUUGUUUACCUUCAUGGGAUCAGAAGUUGGUUGACCUUGAUUCUCAAUACCAUUCACAAUAUCUGUAAAACGACUAAACAUGUCAGAUAUUGAUUCUCCUGGUUUCAAUAUGAAGGCUUCGUAUUGACCGAGAAGAAUGUUGAUUCUUGUUUCCUUCACUCGAUCUGUUCCUUCAUAGGUGAUAUGCAAUCUGUCCCAAACUUCUUUUGCUGUACCACAAGAAGAUAUUCUAUUAUAUUCAGUUGGUGAUAAAGCACAAUAUAAGGAGUAAAUUGCUUUUGCAUCGAGUGUUUGUCUCUUGAUUAUUUCUUCCUGAGACAUUCCGCUGGUUUCUUCAGUUUCUUUUCCUCUUUCAGAGACUGAUGCAGUGGUAGGAGUAAUUCCUUUUUCUACAACGUCCCAUUCCAGAGGAUCCUUUGAUCGUAGGAAAGCUUUCAUCUUGUUCUUCCAGAUGUUGUAAUCCUUUCCAUCAAAGUAGGGUGGUCUGGUAUUGCUUUGCCCUUCCAUCAGCCCUGGUGCUAGCAUACUAACCAUGGAUCUUUAACUCUGAAGUAAAACACUUCAAACAAUGUGAGUACACGAGCUCUGAUACCAAUUGAUAUAGCUAGUAUGAGUACCUAGAGGGGGGUGAAUAGGUGCCUAAACAAUUUAUAGAUAUAUGGAAGCGAUUCUUAACAAAAUGAAAUACGAUCGAGGUAUAGAGAGAGAGAGAAGAUUGAACACAGGAUCGAGGUAGAGAGAGUGAGGAAGAUAAAAUUGAACACAUGAUUUAUAGUGGUUCGGCUUAUUCCAAGCCUACGUCCACUCUUCCGCACUGACAGCCCACCGGCUGGAUUUCACUAUGAUCAAAAGAGAAGUUACAGCACAGCUUUGCCUUGAUUCCACAAUGUGGAUGUUCUACCACACCUCAUCAAGGUCUCUCACAAAUAUAGACUCUCUUUUGUAUACAAGUAUUCGCUCAAAGGAUUUAUCUAAACAAAUAGGAACUUCAGACUUUGGAAUUCUUCUAUCGCACACACCUCGAACAACUAAGAACGUCUUCCUUAUAUACUCCUUUAUGCCAUCAUACCCGUUGGCACUUACCAAAGGAAUUCCUCCAAUCUACCCGUUGGACGGAAUCAAUUAGGAAGAUUGUUCGAGCUAUUAAAGGAACGUGUUGAUAGCCUAUCAAUCCUGUUCGCCCAUACAAUCAGGAUCUCGGUUUCCAUAAGUAGAACCUUCCAAUAAUAUUUAGACAAUCAUUGAAUCAAACUUGAUCAACCAAAGGAUUCUGAUACGUCUUCUCCAGCCACGAGAUCUUCUCCAGAUGAUAAGGUUAAAUCCUGAACAAAACAUCCAGUUCUGGAUAACCUUUCUUCAACGGAUUAGAGACUGUCAAUGAGGAUAGACUUUGAGUCUUGAGUCUGGCUGUUCGGAAGUCUUCAGACUUUAACUAACAGAGUCUGCAGACCUUCAGACUAGACUGAUGGAAACGUUUUGUCAACUUCAAAACACUUUCACUAAGAUUUCUCCAACAAGUGAUCCCUAUGGAUCUCAAUGCCAAGAACAAAAGACGCUUCACCAAGGUCUUUCAUGUCAAAAUUUUACGAUAACAUCCACUUUGUCUCAUGCAGUAAACCAAUGUCACUACUAGCAAGCAAGAUAUCAUCUACAUAAAGUAUGAGAAAAAUAUAUUUCCUCCCACUAACCUUGGUGUAUAUACACUAAUCUACUUUGUUCUCAAUAAAUUCGAAUGAAGUAACAACACUAUGAAACUUGAAAUACCACUGUCUAGAAGCUUGCUUAAGGCCAUAAAUAGACAUUUUCAAUCUACAAACAAGCUUACUUGAGUUGUCUGCUACAAAACCUUCAAGCUGCACCAUAUAAACCUCCUCAUCAAGGUCUCCAUUGAGAAAAGUAGUCUUAACAUCCAUCUGGUGUAACUCCAUAUCGAAAUGAGCUACCAAUGGCAAGAUCACUCUAAAAGAAUCUUUAGAAGAAACUGGAGAAAAUGUUACUUCAUAAUCUAUUCAUUCUCUUUGAGUGAAACCCUUAGCUACCAAUCUGAGUUUAAACUUUUCAAUCUUUCCUUUGGUAUCCCUUUUAGUCUUGAAUACCCAUUUGCAGCCAAUAGGUUUACAACCUUCAGGUAAUUCAACAAGCUCCCAAACACCAUUGUGUUUCACAGAUUGCAUCUCAUCUUUCAUCGCAUCUAGCCACAAAUCUGAUUGAGGACAUAAGAUGGCAUCCGUAUAAGUUACUGGAUCAACAACACAACCAAUAUCAUAAUCAUGUUCUCCUAGGUAGACAACAUAGUCUGGUGGUAUAGCUGAACGUCUUUCUCUAGUUGAUCUUCUGAGUGGAGCUACUUCAACCUCAUUCUGAAUUUGAGGAGCUUGAGGAAUUUAAUAAGGAACUGUCUCAACAAUAGGAUCUUGGGCCACAACAGGCUCAGUUUGUGGCGCAAGAGGCUCUAUAAUUUUCUGCACAUGAUGAAACAGGGAUCCAAUAAUCCCCACCAUACUAUCAUCUUUGAUAGCUUGUGAGUAGCUACCCUUUUUCAGCUACAUCAAAUUCUGGAAAUUUUGCAGUCUGAGAUUCCACAAUUCUUGUACCCCCAUUAGGGUUAUAAAACCGAUACCCCUUUGAAUGAUCUGGGUAAGACACGAAGUAACACUGAGUAGUUUUGGAAUUUAGCUUACUUAAUGUUGGAUUAUAUAACUUCACUUCUGCUGAACAUCCCCAAACUUUAAGAUGAUUCAAGCUAGGUUUACGUCCAGUCCACAACUCAAAAGGAGUCAAUGGAACCGCUUUGGUAGGAAUGUGAUUUAGAAUAUAAAGAGCUGUUUUCAAAGCUUCACCCCACAGAAAAUUAGGUAAAUUGAUCCUACUACUCAUAAUUCUCAUCAUGUCCAUAAGAGUACGAUUGCGCCUUUCAACUACACCAUUUUGUUUAGGACUUUCAGGCAUAGUAAACUGACUUAUUAUCCCAGAAUCCUCUAGGUAUCUAGCAAACUACCCUUUAAGUUGUCCAGCAUCUCCGUGCCUACCAGAAUACUCACAAACACGAUCAGAUCUGACAAUCUUAAUAACUUUUCCUAACUGUUUCUCCACUUCAGUCCGAAAAAUCUUGAAUUUAUCAAGAGACUCGGACUUUUCUUUAAUCAAAUAUAAGUAUCCAUAUCGGGAAUAGUCAUCAAUAAAUGUGAUGAGAUAAAAAUUUAUGCAUAAAGUAGCCGUGUAUGGUCCACUAAUAUUAAUGUGAAUAACCUCCAACAAGUUUGAACUUUGUACGGCGGAUUUCUUCUUUAUCUUAGUCAUCUUACCUCUGCAACAGUCUACGCAAGUCUCUUGAUCAUCUUUAAGAGUAGGCAAGAUAUCAGCCUUUAUAAGCCUUUCUACUCUUUCUUUAGAGAUGUGAUCAAGACGUUUAUGCCACAAUGCAUAAGAUUGUUCCUUAGGUAAAGGCCUUUUGGAAACAACUUUUUCGACUAAAUAAGCAACGUACAUGUCGUUAGGAGAUAAACUCAAUCGGUAUAAUCCAUCGGAUAAAUUGUUACACCCAAUCUUAUUUGAAUCAUAAAACAUGGAAAUAGUAUUACUCUUUAUUUCAAAAGAGUAUCCACACAUGUCCAAACAAGACACAUAAACUAAAUUCGCCUAAAAGAAUGUAUGUAAAAAGUGUUUCUUAACACCAUCCAAACACCAGAAUCUAAAAUCAAAAUAACAUCUCCCACGAACUCGACGUCAACUCUAACGCUGUUUCCAACAGUGAGCAUUGAUUCAUCCUGAUUUGGCAUCCUUCGGUUUAUAAACCCUUGUAUGGUAAAUGUAACAUGAUUAGUUGCACCACUAUCUAGCCACCAAGAAUUGGUCGGAACUUCAGAUAAAUUGGAUUCAUAAACAAAUGCCAAAUAAUCAUUACCUUUAGGCUCACUCUUAGUUCUCUUAGACAACCAAGCCUUAAACUUGCUGCAACGUUUCUUUACAUGUCCUCUCUCCCUACAAAAGUAGCAAUAAACACCAUUCUUCUUGGUGAAUGUUUUCUUGGGACCCAAACUGUUAGAAGGUCCAGCAUCUUCAGAAUUUCCUUUAUUGUUGGAAGAUCCAGCAACUUCAGAAUUGCCCUUAUGAGUAUAAGUUUUCACAUUCUUUCUCUUAUCACUACCAGAGUUAGAAGCAUAAAGGGCAACGUGUCCUUUAUCUUUCUUCAAUUUUUCUUCCUCUGCCACCAGCCUUGCAAUUAGGUCAUUAACUGACCAGGUUUCAUCUUGGGAACUAUAAUUGGUCUUGAUAAUCCCAAAAUCAGGAGGAAAAUCAUUUAGAGCUUGAUGCACAAUGCAAGUAGUGGGAAUACAACAUUGAGAGCUUCAAGCUUUGUCUGCAAAUCUAUCAUUCUCAUAACAUAAUCUCUAACUCCACCAGAACCAUCAUACUUCAUAGUAAAUAGUGUUUGCAUGCGUGUUCCUAUCUCAGCAUUAUGUGAGACACGAUUUCUAGCCAUCAAGGCUUCCAUCAUCUGCCUAGCAGUGCAGUCUGCAGGCAAACCACUUUUCAAGUGUUCCUAAAUGGAACGCUUCAUCGACAGUAAGCAAAUUCUAUUGCUCUUUUCCCAGGCAGUAAAAUGAGAUUUCUGAGCUUCUGUACUCUCAGCAGUAAGAUCUGCCGGCCGAUCGACAGUAAAAGCCAUAUGAACAUCUGCUAUCUCCAUAGCAAACAGAAAAUCUUCUCUACAUUUCUUAAAGUUUGAACCAGUAUGAACCUCAAUAGUGACGGAGUUACCGUUUACAGAAAAGGUGACUAAAAGACAAGCAGUAUAUAUAAUUAGCAUCAUGUGAGCAUUGUGUAACUUGACGUACAAGUACAUGUCCAGAGAGUUACAUGCAAAAUCACAUAAUCACCUUUGGACAGAAUACAUGACAUGCAAUUGUACACUCCCCACAUGAUAGCAGUUAUGAGAAUAUAUUACAAUCUUCGUGAAUUCAUCACUUUUGGGAAUAUGAACCAUUAGGAUCGGUCACUCCUCCACCAUAUCAUCAUGUAUCCCUCCAUGAACUAAUACACAAUCACCUCCUUUGGGAGUAUGACUAUGCAUUAGACCAGAAGAUAUCCCAAUCAAUAUACAAGAUCGAAAUUUCUCAAACCCAAUCAAGUGUGCCACUUUGGCGGUCACAACUUAAUUGAAUCCUUGAAACUCUCUCAUAUCAGGGAUAUAAUCUUUACAUCUCACAUACAUCAUAUACAUGUGAUUUAACUUUAGUGAAAAGGGCAUCAUAUCACUUAAAUCACAUGACAUGCUAAUUACACUGCCUUAUUCAUUAAUAAAAUACAAUAAAGUUUAAUUUUUUUAAUAAAUCACACUUUUAUAAUAUUUAUGUGAUAACAUACCAGUAACCCAACACAUGUAUUUCCAAAAACACAGAAAAUACAAGAAAAAUACGCAAAAAUACACUAAAAAUUCACUUAUUUAGGGCUUUGUAUGUAUUUUCACAUCCAUAAAAUCAUCAAACAUGUAAAAUAAAUACACCACAAGAUAGAACAUGGCAAUGCGAAUCCAACGCCACCAACCACGCACUAAACAGAUACUCCACGCGCCCACAUGUGCCGCCUGAGUGCUCGGCGCGUGGAGCUCACGUGCAGUGCAUGUUCGACGCCCAGGAGGCGCGUGGCCGCGCGUGGGGGCGCGUGCGGCCUCCUCCGGCGACGCGCCGCCCACGGUUCUCUUCGUCUCGUCGAGCCCAGUCCGAAUAUAUAAUUUAAUUUAAUUUUUAUUGAACGAAAAAUCUCAAAAAUCUCAAAUUAUGGCAAAAUCAUUUGCGUUCAUGUUCUAGGGUUAUGGAGGCUCUGAUACCACAUGUAGGACGCAAACUGCGUAACCCCAAAAUCUUUAUAAGUAGAACAAGAACAUGCAUAAUUGAGUAGAAAGAUUAACGCACCUGUAUUGGGAUCCAUUGUUCUUGAAGUGGAAGCAGAAACACAAUGUUCCACACGCAAGUCCUUCUCCUCUAUUACUCUUCGUAUGAUUGGCUCAAUGAGGCGGCCCUCCUCACGUGUAGCGUUAGGUAAAUGCCCCUUAGGUGAGGAUACAUGUGAGAAUUAGGGUUAGAGGAGAGACUUUAGCACUAUUUAUAGAGUUUCCAACCAGGCCACCUCAUUACGGGCCAGGCUCAACUUGGCCCACACUAGCCAGCCCAAUAUUAGACUAAUUAAGAAAUAUUCUAUCUCACCUUAGACCAGCCAUGUUUUACGGUAGCCGUAAAAAUAGUAAAUUACAAUAUCAAUUAAUGUAGUUCACAUUAGGAAAAUUCUUACAAUAUAAUUAUCGAAUUGCUACUUAAAAAAAGAAAAAAGGAAUCACGUGAAGAAAGAAAAGUCCAUGUUUGCAAACGUCUGUGCUCUUGCAUUUCGCCUUCCGCACACGAAGGUCCGGAGGGCGGCGCCUAGGACGCCAAGAGACCAUUAAGCCCUCGGCUCUUCACCUCGGCCAAGAAGUCAAGGGGAGGGUAAUUAUGGGAUUUCCACCUCCUAAUUCCUCCCCCCGACCCCCAAAAAGAAAAAAAACAAUCACGAGGUCAAAAGUGGGGAAGACAAUAAUGUUUGACGGCGGCGCUUGGUUGGAAUCUAAGAAAAAGAUAUUCGGUCUGCCAAUGACAGAAGGCACUUCAUUCCAACGAAUCUUGUUACUUAAUUGUAAUUUUUAUUAAAUACAUCAAGAAAAGUACGGUAUCAAUUGAGAAUCCGCAUAUCUACCACACUAUCAAAUAAAUGUCAACCCAAACUUAAAAAGAUCCGACCCAAACCUAAUCCUAUGAUGCUCUUGAUCAUCAAGUGAAAAGAUUCAUACGAAAUAAAAAAGAAAAAAAAGAAAAACAAGUGCAACCCUGAGACAAACAAUACGAUAAACUUUUGUGUUAUGCAUUGCAAUAAAUUUCAUCAUCGAUUAUUAAACAAAAUACAAGACCAAAAUCUGAUUCCAACUGCAUAACUAGAUGGAGCUUUCAGAUUCACAUUAAGGCAAAGAGGAGACACCAUGAAGCUUCCCACAAUCAUAUUUUGUAAUACCUUUCACCACUCUACCCAAGAGGAGCCCAUAGAAUACAUCUCUUAGGAACCUCAUGAAUCGACUAGACCCAUCUUGUUGCACCCAUCCCGACAAGUACGAUGCUGUUAUCAGUGUCGCCACCCUCCAUCUCCUCUCCUUUGCGUACCCCUCUAUAGCAAGAGGAGCCCAUAGUUUGCCGUGCUCGGCAAUGGAGUUCCCGAGGUGCCUACCCAAUGCCACCGCAUCCUCGAGAGCCGAACAUCCCCCCUGGCCCAAGUCGGGAGUCAUCGGGUGCAUAGCGUCUCCAGCCACCGUGACAUUUGAUCGAACUAGGUUGCCGAACAGGAUGUCCCAAGGAUAUCGGAACAUCAGUGGCGCCCAUGUCAAACUUGAAAGGUCAGAGUGCUUGACGACAUCGAGGUACACGGGUGGGAAGUCCUUCGCCAAAUUUUCCAUCACCUCCCUUUGUAUAAUUUCUGGAUCUGCUCCUUUUUCCACACCUUUAUAAAUGGAAGCGUUAGGGAUCGGGGAGGAUUAGUAAGCUAGUAUUGAAGGAGCCAUCGUGGUUGGGAAUCUCAGCAGAAGAUAAAAUGUAAUAUACAUGGUACCUUUAGGAGGACACGUGGCCACAAAGAACCAAUACAAUUCCUUAUCAUUGAGAGCAAUAAAACCUGCCCUCUUGCCCACAUCCACAAAUUGUUGAAGCGCAUGGCCAUGAUCAAAACCAUGACCUUUCGGGAACACAGACAACCCGCGCACUGCCACCGGCCUGAAUUGACUGGCGGGCGAAGUCCAAGCCAACGGGCCACGAUAGAGUGCACGCCAUCACAUCCUAUAACAACCUACAUGUAUAAUAUUUUCAGUGUGGAUAAGUUAAAGUGGAUAAGUUACCUCAUCAUAUUUGAAUUCAAAAGAAGGUUCUCUAGAAAUUGUAGGGAACCUUAGACUUUAUGAUGGUCCCAUCAUCGAGCAUGACAAUACAAAUGGACAAGCCGUGUUCUACUUGGGUUUCGAUGGAAGUUAUCUUGGAAGAGAAUCGAAUGCUAUUUGGAGGAAGCUCCUCCGCCAGAACUUCCAACAAGACUUUUCGAUGGACUGCUCUUGGUUGGGCUCCAUUCCUGCUCAAUCCAGAUGGAAUGAUUUUCUAUCCUUGGAAUACGAAAUGACAUGCAUAAAAUAAUAACAUUUGUUGUGGGAGAAAAAAAACAGUCGAAGUAUAAGAUAAACAGGACAAGAAAAUAAAUUGAAUAUUGAAUUUAUUUGACUCAAUCAGUAAGAUCUACUCCACACGAAAAAUGGCACAAGACCCACUAACGAAAAUUAUAAUUACAAUUAAAUUAUUUAAAUACUCCCAUUAUUCUCUCAAUGGGGGUUGCUCUUCACGAAAAAGACUCCUUAUAUAGAAAAGAAUUAGAUCCAAAAUACGAAAUUACCUAGUUGGAUUGAGUUCUCUUUAUGAGUCUCAAAUUCUAGACAUAUUUUCAACAACAUAAUAGAAUAAAUUACCCAAUUCUAUCUAACAAAAGGAGUAUUAUAUUUUCAAACUCUAUUAUUGAAGAUCUUCCUAAAAGAUGAGUUGUCAAAAUAGGGGCUAUUAGUCCCAUUCAUGGUAUAUUUCCGACGGUCAUUUGUAUCAUUUUGUGCAAAAUAAAACAUAUAGUAACCAAUUACAAGAAAUUAAUCAGUCUGAAACAUUAAACGGUAAAUUAAGGAAACAAAGAUGAUGGAAAGGUAGGUAGCAUAUAUGAGAGGAAAUUUGAGAUUCACCUGUUGCCUGGAUAAUGCACUUCUUGAAUCGAUUUAGUCUUGACAUCAGUUAUGUAUCCCCUGAACAAGUACCAAAAAAAAAUAAAAAUUAAUAAGUAAAAUUAUUUUCUUUCAUCAUUGAGAAAUUGUAGGACAGAUCAAGGUCCAGCAUCCUGGAUCAAUAACCGAUUUAAGAAGCUCCCAAAACGGGCGAAUCCUAAAAUCAAUUUAACAAAGUACAAAACCAAUGUAGAGCUUAUCUUUCUAUUCAGUAUAUCUUGCUUGAAAAGCCUAUUGCUCUUUCUCACUGAUAUUGCAGUUUUUCCCUUCAUUUGAUGAAUAUCUAAUUAGUUAUUUUAUUCUAAGCACUAAUCGCAUUAGCAACCUCAAUAGGCAAAUUUCACGGUGCACUUUACAAUUGGCAAUGAUCUCAAUUUUCAUGAUUUUUUCCCCAUGGAAGAUGUAAAACCACUUUUUGACCAAUUUUUUUAAUACCUAACGAACAUCGUUUGCAAAUAACCCAAAAAAAAAAAAAAUCAUUGCAUUAAAUGAUCGAAAUGAAAGUUCAUGAACUUAAUUGCAUCAUAUGAAGAUCUACUCACUGCGAUUGAAAUGCGUUUGGAUUUUUUUAACUACUUUUCACUAUAAAAGUGAUUUACUUUUAGUUGGUUUUAUCCCCAACGAGCUAGCACAAGAUUAGGCGUAUUUAACAUCUUCUAAAAGAUGCUUACACUAAUUCAGCAUUCAUCAACUCUGAGUGCUGUCAUCUUUCAUAGCAGAGAAAUCACUCAUUUAACUCUCGAUCUGUACAUGAUUGUUGAACUAAAGAUUAGAUCGAGUUUUAAUACUUCGAAAUGAUAAAACAUUCUACAAUAAUCAGACGUCUAUUUUCAAGUGCAAAGAGCGAACAAGGACCUCACCUUUUCAGAGGAGCGUACAGGGCAGCGAGCUUGUCCGAAACGCCGAGUGCAUCGAGCGCAACCCACGCAUUAGCAAAGAGACCGAGAGCCGCACCGGUCGUUCGGAGCUCCUCCGAUCUCUCAAGGACGAGGGCUCGGACACCGACCUUCUUAAGGGCCACUGCCGUCGCCAGACCUGCGAUGCCGGCACCGACUAUCACCACCUCCUCCAUGGUCGUGUUCUACUUCGAGCUUGUUGAGUGUGCGCACGUGUGCUUUUGGGAUAAGUAGUCUCUUAUCUUGCGGUCCCUAUUUAUGGAGUGGCAAACUUGUCGUCUUUUGAUAGCCACGUCCCUGCUUACGAAUGCUACAGAAGCAUUGAAUGAAAAUUACAGCCACAGAAUGGGGGGCAAUGAUUGAAUGAAACGUGAGCCAUUUCCAGAAAAUUUCGGCUUUUAUUUCAAAAGGAGUGAAAUUAAAAUUUCCAACCUGAAUAUAGACUUUUCAAAUUCAUUUGUUUUUCCAGAUUCUCUUCGGUUCUUUUCUUUACUUUAUUAAGCUUUCGCUAUUGUAAGGUGGAUUUGAACUUGCUUUGUUGGGUUUAGCCUUGUGACAUCCAUAAGUUUAAAACGUGUACCUUUUUAAGCUGUAAAUUGUCUGAUUGACAGUAAGAUUUUUCAUAUUUGCCAAUUUUGAGCUUGGUCUUUAUUAAGGAGUCUUACGUGAGGGGGCUGGCUUUCAUUUAACAAAUUUUUAGUGACAUUUUGGAUACUUCAGUUGCAGCAACUUUUUUUGGGUGAAAAUUCCAGCAGCAACGUCAGUGUUUGCGUCAAAUGCCCAGAUUGACCAAAUGUCCUCUCUUGACCACUCUUUACGAUCGACUAGUCGUCCUCUAUCAUAUCCACUAGAUUUUCACGAUAUUACGAAACCUCCUAACAUAACACAUAUCCGCUAGUCAACUCAAUUAAUCAUAAUUCUCAAGUGGGCAUCAAUAUAGCCUUUUAAAACAAUAGGAUAUUUGUCUUCUUACAUAACAUAGUCUUUACUUUUUUUUUAGAUAAUCUAACACUUUCAACAGAGCAGUCCAAUGCUGGUAACCAGGAUUACCUAUAUAUUUACUCAAUAUUCCUAUUGAGUAUGCUAAAUUUAGUCUAGUGCAAUUCGUGAUAUACAGAAUAUUGUCGAUUACUUGAAAAUACUCUAGUUGCCUAAUAUUGUUUUUAGUAUUCUUUCUAAAAGUUAUGUGUGGAAUAUAAGGAUUAUCUGCAUAUUUGAUUAGAACCUUUUAACCUCUCAAUUCAUUUUCAAUGUAAUGAGAUUGUGUUAAACCUAGACCAUCGUGAUUCCAACACUUUUUUCAUAUCGAACCACAGUAUUGGACUUUUCGUUGAUGCAAAAAAAAUUAGGCAUGGUCAAAAUAUAGUCAAAUCUAGAUUAAAAAAAAAACACAAAAUCAAUCUUAAAUUUUUUUACCAAUUAGAUGGUUUUCAUCACCUGUACAGCAACAACACACAAGAUGUACAAAUAGUAGAGAGCUAUAGAGAAAGACAAACUGAAAUUGUAAAAAGAUCGUAAGCUUUUGUUCAAUAUUAUUGUCUUGCCACACUUAUGCAGACCACCAUCUUUAUUUAUCGUCAAUGGAUUUUAGAUUGAUAGUGAAGUUUCAAGAAAGAUGGAUAUGAAGCUAUGUCAACCCUCUUUAAAUACAGAUAGAUCAAUGAGCAAGGUAAUAUUUUUCAAUUUUGGAAGAUCGUGAAGUACCAACUUUUUAAGACUUUGAAGUGUUCUUGGGUCCAUACAAGAUUUGUCGAAUACAAUGAAGAUAUCCUCAAUUUCGUAGCACUUUUCGACAUUCAAACGAGAAAGUUGGAUAGUUGCUCAGUCAAACCAUUUGAAAAUAUAUUUUUUGGCUUAGGGCAAUUGUACAAGGAUAUGACCGAUAAAAAUUUUCCCAAACUUAGGUAAAAAAAGCAAUAUUAUUAUUGUUUUGAAAUCAAAUCGCAUUUUUUAAACAAUCGGGUUAGGAGCUUUUUGUAGGGGUAAAAAUCAAGAGAUGUUGAACGGGAAAGUUAGGCCCAGCCAAAUAUGGUCAACUUUGGGUAAAAAAAUAGAUAAAUAUUAUUUUAAUUUUACCAAAUUAAAUAAUUUAACCGGCCAUCCGACCGCUCAUGAAGUUCUCGAGGACUUGGCGAUACAGCAUGUUCCUAUACAUUUUUUAAAAUCUCUGCAUGUCCCUAACAUUUUUCUUGGAUAAAGCUAAAUUUCUGAUGUCCUUUCAAUUCUCUCUCUAGCUAUUGAAAUAUCGGCAAGAGAUUCACAUUGAUUCUACAAUUUAACUUGGCAUGGAUGAUGGUCGAGGAGGUCGUCAAGCAACUGUAGGCGAACAUGGGAUCGAGCUAAAUUUCUAAUGUCCUUUCAAUUCUCUCUCUAGCAAUUGAAAUAUCAGCAAGAAAUUCACAUUGAUUCUACAAUUUAGCUCGGCAUGGACGAUGGUCGAGGAGGUCGUCAAGCAACCGUGGGCGAACAUGGGAUCGAUCUCAUGAGGCGGUACUUAUUGGCUACAAUGUCGGAAGAUACGAAGGCAGCACCAAAAUGGAUUGAGCUGUAGCAUCUCCAGAGUCCCACACUUUGUCAGAGGAAAUGACGGGGCGUGCCGACCCUGCAUCAUCUCUAUUGGCCCGUAACAGCACGGGCAAGGCAGAAGCAGAUGCUUCAAGAGCACGAGAGGAGAUAGCUCCACGCCAUGCUAGACCAAACUCAACCACACCGCCUCGAGGACCUCAUCAACACAGUGGCGCCGAAAGUGGAAAUGAUCCGGCAAUGCUACUCGGAGAGCACCCGCGGCUUCAGGACCUGAUGUUUUGAAAAUGGGGGUUCUGAUGGAUGCCUCAUCAUUCAGUUCCAAAGGGCAGGGAUUGUACGGACCGAUCCCCAUUAAGAAAUUACUGUACGGACCUUCUUUGGUCUGAGAACCAUGUCCCGUACUUUGUUCGGGAGGAUUCGUUCGAAACAACUAAUGUUCUGAAAAGAGCCUUGUCUUUGGCCCAUCUUGCCUUCUAGUUUCCUCCUAUUUUUGAGAAACUUCAUGUUGAAUGACAAGUCGGUUGUUAUAGAAAGCAGGCCCUAAAAGAAAGGUAAGGUUGGGUUCGGUUUUUCACAUUUAUCCAGCAGACAAGAGCUCAUUAUCUUAUCAGAUUUGCUUUGCUUCUAAGCUCUGUUGAGUGGGAAUUGGAUUCAAGCAGAGAGAAGCCGACCCUUCUUGGAGAUCAAAUUUCACCGUUGGAACCAUUCGAAUUCCAAAAAUAACAAUUGAUGAUCACUUCAGUUGCAAACUCACCAAUAUGGUUGCUUUUGAAGAGUGUCGUGGCCAAAUGCACAGGCACAAUAUUGCCUAUGCUGUGCUCAUGAGAUGCCCCAUUCACACGGCCAAUGAUGUACAACUUUGCUUUUGAAGAGUCGUGGCCAAAUGGCCAAGCACAAUACUGCUUAUGCUACGUUCAUGAGAUGUCCCAUUCCCACAGCCAAUGAUGCAUGACUGUAAAGCCAUCUUGCAUUACGGCUUGAGCAACGAGGAUGUUGCAUGCUUCUUCUUCAAUAAUGACAGCAGGACGCUGAUUUUGACCUCAACAGUAGCUAUCAAGCGUGGCACUUUGCAAUUUUAAACAAAUUCCUUAAAUAUGAACGGGCUUAUUGUUACUGCACACGACUCUGCUUUUCAUGAUAAUGACGGCCCAUGGUCGUGAAAGGAAUUGAGGAAGACAAGGGAACAGCAAGAAGAAUAGAUUUUAGGGGAAGAUUUUCUGUAUCUCUUUCAUUAAUUACUAAAGUGUAUAGAGCUCUGUAAUUAUAGUACUUGAUGUAUACAAACGUAGGGAAAGAAAAUAUCCCAAGAAUCAAAUCUAAUCUUUGAUUGAUAUAAUAAAUCAAUCACAUCUCGAGCAUAUCUUCUAACACUCUCCCUCAAGCUGGUGGCUUAUAGAUGUCCAAGACACCUAACUUGCUUAAUAGAUAUGUGUGUUGUCUUUGACAUAGGGGUUUGGUGAAAACAUCUGCCAAUUGUUAUGUGGUUCCAAUCCGCUUUGUCUCAAUUAUUCAUUCUUGAAUCUUGUCUCGAGUAAAAUGGCAAUCCAUUUCUAUAUGCUUCAUUCUUUCAUGCACUAUAGGAUUUGUUGCAAGUUUGAUAGCUACAUCAUCGUCACAAAAUAACUUGGUUGGUCCCUUUACUUGCACCCCAAAAUCCCAAGGCAAACCUCGUAUCCACACUAUCUCGCAAGUGGUCUUUGUCGUGGCUCGAUAUUCUGCUUCAGCUGAAGAUAAUGAGACGGUUGGUUGCUUUUUUGUUUUUCACGAAAGUAGAGAUUCCCCUAAUUUAAUGCAGAAACCUAUGAUAGACUUUCAGCGCAUGAGAUAAGUCACAUAAUCUACAUCACAAUAAGCUGUCAUUUCCAUGUUGCAUUUCCUAGAAAGAAGUGUCCCAAAUCCUAGGCAUUUCUUCAAGUACUUUAUGACCUUUGGAGCGGCAUUCAUAUGGGAUUGCUUUGGACUAUGCAUGAACUAACUGAGAGUUUGGACUACGUAACAUAAAUCAAGUCUAGUCAUGGUCAAAUAUAUAAGUUUUCCAACGAGCUUCUAAUAACUCGACAGAUCUCAAAGUAUAGGAUCAUCAUCUUGAGAUAUUCCCACAUCGUAAUCUAUCAUAGUUAACUUUGUGUUUUGCUUAAUUGGAAUAAUAGCCAGUUUGCAUCUUGAUAGACUUUCUUUAGAUACAAUCUCCAGUACAAACUUUUGUUGGCUGAGAGAAAUCCCUUGAUUGGAUUGGGUAAUUUCAAUUCCAAUGAAGUAUUUAGGUGAUCCCAGAUCUUUUAUAUGAAAAGUGGAAUGUAAAUACUCCUUAAAGCUCUUUAUGGCAGUUAUGUCAUUUCCCAUAAUAAGUAUAUCAUCAAAAUAUAUCAUCAAGAAGAUGGAUGACAUACAUUUUGUCCAUGUGAAUAAGGCAUAAUCAUAUCUAGAUUGCCUGAAACCUACAGCUACAAGAGCAUUGGCGAAUUUGGCAUACCAUUGCCUAGAGGCCUCUUUGAGGCCAUAAAGGGAUUUUCGGAAACGACAUACCCUAUUCUCCCCUUGUCUUUGUAAUCCUUGAGGAAGUUCCAUAUAAAUUUCCUCAUCCAAAUCACCAAUGAAGGAAAGCAUUAUUGACGUCCAUUUGGUGUAAUUCCCAAUCAUGAAGAGUUGCAACUGAUAAGAAUGAACAAACUAUGACAUCCUUGGCCACUAGAGAAAAUGUCUUAUGAUAGUCGAAACCUUCCCACCGUGUGAAACCUUUAGCCACCAAUCGAGCCUUGUAAUAUUCAAUAGAGCCAUCUGCUUGAUACUUGAUUUUGUACACCCACUUGCAUCCAAUUGGCUUUCGGUGAGGGCUCCCAUGUUUGAUUUUUUGCUAAGGCCUGUGAUUCUGCUUCCAUAGCUUUUUGCCAUUGUGGAUCAGUGGAUGCCUCAUCAUAAUUAGAGGGUUCUCGUUCUUCUGAUAUACAGUUGAUGCAACACCUAUGUCCUGGAGAAAGUUGAUCGAAAGAAAUAUAGGAUAAGAUUGGGUAAUUAAUACUUGGUAAGUUGAAUGUAGCACAAACAUAGUCUUUAGCCCACGUUGGUGGACGUUUGGGGUGCCCGAACCAUGGAGGAUCCUGCAAUUGGUGGAGAGGAUGAUGGUUCAUCAUUAGAAGACCUUGGUAAAGAACUGGAAGCUUCGUCAAUGGGCAUAUUAGCAAUUGCUUGUUCUCAUGUUGAAACUGGAGCAAUAUUCUCAUCUGGAAUUGGAGCGGGUGCUGAAGGCAUAGUCAAAACAUACUUUGAAUCUGCAGAUAGUGCAUCCUCAAAUAAAAAUUGACGAGAAUCCCCUCGGUUGCGUGAAUCUUAACAGCAGAUUUUCAUGAAACAGGAAGAUGUCCUCAUGGAAAGAAACAUCCCUCCUUAUGACGAAUUCACCUGUGGAAGUCUCAAAGACAUGGUAUCAUUUCUUUAAAUUUGGAUAUAUCAUAAAUAUACUACUCUGGGCGUGGGGACCCAUUUCAGCUGUCAAGGAUUUGAGUGGGCAUGCGACUGAUCAAGUAAAUAGCCGUGACCACUCAAUCUCCCUAAAAGGUUUUUGGAAUGGAGGCUUGGAAUUUUAGUGCACAUGCAACUUCCAAAAGAUGGCGAUGUUUGUGUUCCACCACCCCAUUUUGCUACGAGGUGUAGGUCCAGGAACUCUCAUGUAGGAUGCCAUGAGAUGAGAAAAGAGAGGGGCAAUGAUUGUUGAAAAAUUAUUUCCCAUUAUCAAUGUGACUGCGCUAAAUAGAUUUCCCAAAUUGGUUCUUUGAUAAGGAAAUGAAUAAUAUUAAAUGGGUGAAAGCUUGAUGUUUUGACUGCAUCAGGAUAACUUGUGGCACGGGAGUAAUCGUCCACAAUUGUCAGAAAAAAAUGAAACCCAUCACGAUGUGGUGUGUAAUAAGGUCCCCAAACAUCAACAUAAAUUAAUGAAAAAACAUCACUAGCACGAGUCUUGCUAAAUGGAAAGGGAACACAUGAUUGCUUUGCAAGUGGACAAAUAUGGCACUAAAGAUAAGAAAAUAAAGCACUAUGGCCCAUUCUAGAAUGUAUAAGAAAAUUUCUAUCAUUGGUAGUCAGGUUACACAAUGAUUGUUUAUUCAAGGAAAUGUGAUCACUAGCUUCUAAAUCCAAGCAUUUCUCGAACUAGAAUUUAUCAAGUAAUGAGAAAUACCUGAGAAAUUUCCCCCUUUGUUAGAAGUGCCCAAAUUCUAUAAUGCUUGCAUAAGCCACUGAUAUUGUCCAUACAUGAUGGGCUAAUUAGCAUUUGGACCGGUUGGCCCGGUGACCUGGUAAGCAGCUAAAAUUUCUUUUUCCAUCUUUCCCUUCUCUCCAGGUUUACCAUGCAAUUUCUAGCAAUUAUCGAUAGUGUGAUGUGGACGUUUGUAAUAUUCACAAAAUAAUUUACAUUUUCCCUUUGAGUUCUACCCAAAAUUCUUGGAUGACGUGGCAAAGAUCUAGCCGUUGGACACCUUAUUUCUGCUGCCGUAUCUACUGUCCAAUUCUGGAGAAGGAUCGGCCAACCAUAAGCAGUUUAAUCACUAGAUGCAAUCUGAGCUAUCCAUGGCUUGCCUUUUAAGGGUUCUUGUUUCAGCAAACCCUAAUGCCACACCCUUUCCUUCAUUUAGGUUUUUGUACACAACCUCUCUCCAUUCACGACGAGCCGCGAGCGUGAUCCUAUCAGCUCCUUUCGCGUACUCCAGCGAAGUAAGCCGUUGGCUUUCUUUUUGAACGGCCAACUAAUAUAUUCAUCCGAGCGGCAAUACCGGAUCCAUCACCAAGGUUUGAGAUUGGAACGUCAAGAAAAAUUCAUUCAAAAUCAAAAGGAAUCUUGUUGCCUUCUCUCUUUCUUUCAUCGCUUUGUACUACAUGUCGUAAUAGACAUGUUUCCUUGCUUCAGAUCUGAGAGUGCCUGGGUAAGCGAAAUUUUUUUUGCUUGGUCUAACUUCCCACACAUCUCAUUUAUGUUGUCCCACAUGAGUUUUGAGUCCUCCGUGGGAGGUAAGCCAGUUGCAACUUCAGGGGAAACACAAUGUCUGAUCCACGUUCUCACUAAAUGAUUACAUUUUCUCCAUUACCGUAUCAUCCUUUCAUUUGUCAAGGUCGGAAUGGUCCCAUUGAUAAAACCAUAUUUAUCCUUCAUAAUGAGAGCUCGCUGAAGAGUAAUUUUCCGAUCCUUUUAACUGAUAGGUGGUUAGUCGAAUUUCUGGUACAUUAGCGAUGGAGACAAGUAAGGGGUCGCUGGGCUCUUGGUGACCAAUCAUGGCUAAGAUCGAAUACGGCAAGAACCCAGGUGGCAGAAACGGGUAGGGAUUUCCUCCCAUACUCGGAUUCGUCGACUCAUUUUUUUGCCCCGCACUGUGAAAACCUGCAUUCAAAUCUCUCGACCCAGUCGGUCGCCCCACAUUGAAGGAUCCCGUCCCAAUGGUUGGGCUUGCCUCGUUCACGGCUAGUAAGCCACCAUUGGACUGGGCACUAUUUUCGUGGCUUUGAUUUCUUGGCCAUGAGGUGUUUGGGCUUGGCCCAUAAUACCAAGGAUUGGGCUGCAUCUGAACGGGCAACCAUUGGAAUGGUUGGCCCAUAAAAGGGUUGCCCUAGAUUCGGCUGGGCUUGAGAUGGUGGCCAAUGCAUAUGUUGGGCCCAAAUCGGCUGCUCUUGGCUUCCAACGACUCUAGUAGGUGGGUUUAAGGUAAGAUCUUGAAUGUUCGGAGCUUCUGGCAUUAUCUCUUCUAGGAUAUGUUCUUUAGGCUGCGCAUGAUAAAAUUUUUGAAAUAGAAAUUGAUUUCUGGCUAGAAAUCAAUUUCUUAAUUUCUAUUCCCCUGACAAGUUUUUGAGCAAAGAAACCCGUUUGAUAACAAUUCAAAAUUUCUAUUUCUGAAACAGAAAUCCGUUUGAUAACAGAAAAAAAAAUUCUAUUUCUAGGAAUAGAAAUUGAUUAGAUAACAACAUAGGAAAUCCUCAAAUACAAAAUAAUAGUCGAAAUAAUACUAAUACAUUACAAAAGUUGAAAAUACAAUUUCAUGGAAUUUCCGGCAUAUUAUUAUCCUUUGCCAUUUUAUUAACAAUUGUUUUCCUAAGCGUAUUUAUUUGGUUUCCCUCCUCGGUCAAUAUAUCGUUUGCAAGCUCAUCAUGCGUAGGUUCAAACAAGUACUGCGGAAACAUGAUAUAGGUGCCAUCAAUGACGCAUAUACAGCCUUGUCAUUUUAUCGAAAACUAGUAUAUAUAAGAUUAUCAACAAAAUAAAAUUAAUGGUGUAAAGGAAUAUAUGAGAAUUCUACCUUAAAAUAACGUUUAUGGUUAGGAACCAAUCGGGGGAAGGUCGGUUUAUUUUGAUUCUUGAAUUGAAUCAGUUCAGUUGCUCAUCCCUAAUUUCUUUAUUGUUGCUCAAUGAACCUUUAAUAGCCCUUGCAUAGCAAAGAGAGAGAUUCUCUUUAAUCUCUUGCCUUCGAUUUAAAAUUCAAGAUUGUGUAACAAUCUAAUUAUUUUGAUUUUGCAAGAAUUUUGAAUCCGUAAAAAAAUAACGUUAAAUUUCUAGGCACGUUUUUUAUUCAUCUAUUACGUAAGUACUUUUUCUUCAACUGGUCAUGUGCGUGCCUUUUCUAAGAGGGAAGAGCCCCAUUGUUUUUAAGUAAGCAUUUAAGAACUUUGGUCGUUUUUUGAAAAUUGGGGACCCAUUCGAUUGCCUUUCAUCCUAAAGAAGAAGUUAUAAAAAAUGGAAAAAAUACAAAAAAAAAAAAAACAUGAGCAAAAUAAGAAAAAGAAAAUUAGCAAUAAUUUGUGAAGUUGUGGUUAUGAGUGAAUUAAGUUAGCAAGAAAACGCAAUGUUCUUUUAUAUGGUUUGAUUUCAGUUUCUUAUUUCUAUUUCAGAAAUUGAGAAGUUAAAAAUUUCAGCUUCUGAUUUUUUCAAUUUCUCUAUUUCUGGAAUAGAAAUUUGUUUUAGAAAUAGAGAAAUCAAAUCGCGUUACCAAACGGAUUUCUGUUCCAAACCUGUUCCGGGGAACAGAGAAAUAGAGAAAUCGAGAAAUGGAAAUUUUGUCAUGCGCGCCCUUAGAAGCCGAUGCCUAAUUUUGGGUCAUUGUGAUGGUUAAAAAAAGAAGAAAAAAAGCUCUCUUUUUUCUUGCUCGCUUUUGUGGUUUCAAGAAACCGAUUCCUACACCAAAGUGCUGACACUGUUUUUCAGGUUAGUCUGUCCUUUGCUGCAAGAACAAGGAAGACCUGCAGACAAUCAAUUGAUAAAGGGGCAGAAGCUAAAUUAGGAGUACAAGUGCUCUAAUACCAUAAAAAGGAAUUAAGGAAGACAAGGGAAGAAGGGGAAGAUUUUCUAUAUUUCUUUCGUUAAUUACUCAAGUGUACAAAGCUCUGUAAUUAUAGUACAUGAUGUUUACAGAUGGAGGGAAAGAAAAUAUCCCAAGAAUCAAAUCCAAUCUUUGAUUGAUAUAAUAAAUCAAUCUGAAUCCGAAUGGAUAUUGCACAUCUUGAGCAUAUAUUCCAAGAGGUCGGCUCUUUCAAGCCUAGCUUUUGUUGUAAUGCUUGCAAGCAUUAUUUAGUGUACUUUGUGCUGCAAUACUAUCAUCCCAAGUAGCAGGAAUUGUUGGGUAUGUGACCCUUUACUCUAAUAUCACUUGUUAGGUACGCCGAAGCAUUGAGGUGGUAACAUGGGAAAAUUGUAAUAAACAACUAAAAGCACACUCAAUAUGCUAGCCUGCGUUACAAAUAUAGCACUCAAAAUAAUCAAUAAAAAACAAGUACUACAAUAAACUCUCUGUCACCAUAUAAAAUACUCACUCAAAACAAACUAGCUAUACAAGCACAUGCGCUCAACUAUUCUAUUUUCCCUUCUUGCUCACAGAGGGAUAACUCGCUCACAUAGAACAACUUUCUCUAGGAUGCGGUGCCUCUCUCUCUCUCUUGACUUGAAGCUCACCUUUGCACCUGGUGACUUCCCAUUACGAAGCUCUCAUGCAUGUCGCUUCUCACCUGGUGGCUUCCUCUCUAGCUUGAGGUUCUCUGCCUGCGUGUGGCAUGAGGUCCUCUCCCUGGCCUGAGGCUCUCUCUCUUAGGUUCUUUGCCUGCGGUGGCUUGAGGUUGUUAAGCCUGCGGCUCUUUCCUAUCCUGUUGGGAUUAACGGAUUCCCAAAAACCGGAUUCGACACUAAAUCGAACCCCUAAAACGAAUGCGGAAGACAAGCCCGGGAAAAUCACAUAUCAUCGAUCAUAAAGCACACCACGGAUUCGAACGUACCUUGUUAGCUACAGAUUAAACACCGACAUCGAUAUGAGGAAGAGAAUUUGGCCAUGUUCGAUCCGAUGACGCCAAUUCGCCUUGAAGGGAAGAAAAACGUUGCCUUGUACUUUAUUGUUUUUCUUUUUGGAGAGAGAGAGGGAGAGGGACGUACGUACGUUAAUGAUUCCAAAAGGUGCGUUCUCCCUCUCUCUCCUCCCUUAUAUACGUCCCCUCUAAAAAUAUUAACAUACCCCUUCAUCCAUGGGCCCUAAUCCUGUGGGCCGGGCUUUUAGGCCCAACAUGGGCGGACGGGCCUUAAGCCCAUUACAUAAAACCAUCAUCUCCCACUCGCACAUGGUGGGCCGAACAGGAUUCUCUUUACCUCUCUUCAACAUUCAUACCGGUGAAUAAUCCAUGCGACCAGCAUACUUUGAGAGCUCGUUGCUAUACAUCUGUUAGGAAUAUAUAGCAGCUCAUAAUGGGCAUCACACUCUGAGUAGAUUUAGUAUGCAGUACCCUAGAUCGAUCGAUCACAUUUAUAUCUCUCUUGAUCUCUUUUAAAUAAUGAUAUAUAUAUUGCAUUCACAAUUAUGAUUAUCCCAAAGACAGUCAUAAUUGGUCGACCAGUGAAUACAAAACUACAAUGUGAUUCUCCAAAAUCGAUCUUCCUCUUUCCUUCAAACUCUCAAUUUCAGUUCAGCUUGCUUUUCUAGAAAUGUCCCAUUAGAUCGAAUCAACUCAUGACCAUUGGCAACAUUUUAAGAUAGCAAACACUAAAUAGAAAUCUUGAGAAUAAGUAAGAGUUAUGAGGGCACUAAAAUUGAGGAACUCUUUUCCUCAAAAGUCUCAUACGUCAUAAAAGUUGAGAUCAAACUUUUUACCACUCUUAUUGGUCGUCUCAUGCAUACGUAGUAUGAAAUACGUAUUACGGUAUUAACUCAUUUCCCAUGGAGCGUAUGUCUACACUUUCAAUACCGUACAUAUGAUAGUUCAGACAUACCCAAUGUCUAACUUGAGUUCACGUAUCUACUCAUUCACAAAAUUCAUCAAAACUCACAUCUGGUAUCUUGGACAGAUAAAGUAAAAUAUGUGGGGUAUUUUACUUUCGGACAUAGUAAGUAUUAUGUCCUCAUCUUAACACUCAGUUAAGGCGACAUACGUAUUUUACGCUUGAGUUCUCGAUUAUCACCUAGAUAAUAAGCUUAAAAAACAAUCUCAUCUCUAUUUAUCACACAGUAAAUAGAGGCGAUUACCCGUGUGAGUGGGCUAAUCUUAUAUAUGUUUGACAUACUUUCUCAACUUAAAAUAAUACACUGAGCAUUAAGAUGCAUAAAGAUCAAACAAAGAUUCAUAGGCAUUAAUAAUGAAACAACACUAGUUCAUAAAUGUGAACAACUCAGGGAAAUUACAAUCCAGUACAUCAGACUCUACGCAAUCCUAGAGAUUUUACAUGACCACAAAACACAUCUCUAGGUAUUGGCUUUGUCAUAGGAUCUGCUACCAUUCUAUGCGUAGAUAUACACUGUAAGUUCACAUCCUUUCGUGCAACCAUAUAUUUGACAAAAUUAUACUUGGUAUCUAUAUGUUUGGUCUUGUCAUGAUAUUUUGGAUCUUUAGUGUACGCUAUAGCUGCUUGGCUAUCACAGUUAACCAAUAAUGGAUUUGCAGCUUUCUCAAUAACACCUAAAUGAUCCAAAAAUCUCUUAAGCCAAACUCCUUCUUGUACCGCUGCUGAUAAUGUCACGAACUCAGCUUCCAUCGUGGACAAGACUAUACAUGUUUGCUUCUUACUGCUCCAUGAUAUGGCGCCAUUGUUCAGUAAGAAAGCAAAUCCAAAGGUAGAUUUUCUUUCAUCUAAAUCUCCUCCCCAAUCAACAUCUGAAUAGCCUUCAAGUCGCAGAUCCUUUUCUUGGUAAUUCAACUUGUAAUCAGCAGUUCCCUUCAGAUACCUCAGUAUUCUCUUAACGGCUUUCCAAUGUGCUGGACCUGGAUUGGAUUGGUAUCUACUCACCAUUCCAACUGCAAAACAUAUGUCGGGUCUUGUACACAUCAUAGCCUACAUCAAGCUCCCAACAGCACUAGCAUAAGGAACAUAUUUCAUUUGUUCCUUCUCUUGUGGAGUCAUUGGACACAGUCUAUGGCUUAAUCCUUCACCUUUUGCAAUAGGAGUGUCUAUGGGUUUACAAUCUUGCAUACGAAAUCGUUCAAGAAUCUUAUUUAUAUAUGUUUCUUGCGAAAGAAACAACGAUCUCUUGAAAUCUUAACUCCAAGAAUGUAUGCAGCCUCACCCAUAUCCUUCAUCUCAAAGUUGGAAGACAACAAACUCUUGACAGUAUUAACAAACUCCAUAUUGCUUCCGACAAUCAGUAUAUCAUCAACAUAUAAUGAUAUGAUCACAAAUUGAUCCUUGGAUCUUUUGAUAUAUACACAAUGAUCCUCAUCAAUCAUUGUAAAAUCAUAUGCCAUUAUGGCAUUAUGAAAACGUAUAUACCAUUGUCUCGAUGACUGCUUAAGACCGUAUAUUGAUCUCAAAAGUCGACAUACCCUUUCUUCUUGGCCUUUCAGUAUGAAACUAGCAGGUUGUUCCAUAUAUAUUUCUUUAUCUAAUUCUCCAUUGAGGAAAUGAGUCUUUACAUCCAUCUGAUGUAACUCAAGAUCCAUACUAGCCACUAUUGCCAGAAUAAUGCGAAUCGAUGUAAAUCUCACUACAGGAGAAAAUGUAUCUUCAUAAUCAAUUCCUUCAUGUUGAUUAUACCCUUUCGCCACAAGGCGAACCUUAUGCCUUUCUAUCGAGCCAUCAGCCUUUCGCUUUAUUUUGAGAACCAACUUGUUCCCAAUAGCUCUACGUCCUUUUGGAAGAUCAACCAGUUCCCAGACUUGGUUUGAUUUCAUGACUCCAUUUCUUCUUCCAUUGCAUGAAUCCAUUUUUCUUUACUAGGGCAAUUCAGAGCCUCAUUAAUAUUUCUUGGCUCAUCCUCAUCUUGUGGAGCAACCAUAAAAGUUUCCCCUUCAAUGUCAAAACGUUGACUGGGAAUACUUUGGCGACUUGUUCGCCGUAUGGGAGAUUGUACACUUUGCACAUUAUUCCCCAUUAUGCUCCCAUUUGGAUUAGAUAAUGAUGAUGUCGUCUCAUCAUGUGGUUGCAACUGAGAAUGAGUUGAAUUCAAUUCAUCAUUUCUCAUAUCACUCCCACUUGGACGAACUUUAUUAAUAUCGUUAUCUUGAUCCAAGGUUUCAAAUAGGGAGUAAUCUUCCCCUAUUUCGCCCUUCUUAGGAAAUUCAUCCUCUAAGAAUGUGACAUCUCGUGAUUCAAAUUCAGUUAUACUCCCACUUUCCUGCUCACCUAUGAACAUAUACCCUUUCGAGUGUUCUGAGUAUCUUAUGAAAAAUACUCUUCUUUCCUCUGGGACCCAAUUUCCCAAACUUGUGAGAGAACUCAUGAGUAUAGGCAGCACAACCCCAUGGCUUAAGAAAACCUAAGUCCGGUUUUCUACCUGUCCAUAACUCAUAUGGAGUGGAAGUAACUGAUUUGGAAGGCACCCGGUUAAGUAUAUAGACAGCAGUUAACAACACAUCACUCCAAAAAGUAAUAGGUAAGUUAGCAUGCGCCAUCAUGGACCUAACCAUUUCCAGUAUGAUUCUGUUUCUUCUAUCCGCAACACCAUUUUGUUGAGGAGUAUAUGGAAUAGACAACUGUUUUUCUAUUCCUUUUUCAUCACAUAAUUUUCGGAACUCAUCAGAUAAAUAUUCUCGACCUCGAUCGGAUCUCAAUGCUUUUAUUUUCUUGUCUAAUUGAUUUUCUACCAGGUUCAUAAACCUUUUGAAACAACUUAAUGCUUCAUAUUUAUGAGAAAUCAAAUAGACAUAUCCGAAUCGAGUAUAAUCAUCUAUAAAGUGAUGAAAUAAACAGCCCCAUGCCUUCCUCUCACAUUCAUUGGACCACAGACAUCAGAAUGGAUUAAAUGCAGAGGAAAUUCAGCUCUUUUACCUUUUCCAAAUGGUUUCCUUGUCGUUUUCCCUUCUAGGCAAUGCUUACAUAUGGGCAAAUCGACUUUUUCAAUGUUGCCCAACAAGCCAUCUUUGGCUAGUCUAUUCAUACGUUGUUGGCCAAUAUGACCAAGUCUAACAUGCCACACAUUUACAUCAUUAUCAUACGAAUUAGGAGACGUGAGAAGGGAAUAACAAACAUUUGCAUUAACAUAGUCAAUAUCUAAUACAAUGAAACCAUCCAGAAAAUAACCACAACCAUAGUAAUUUGUAUCCAAAAACAAAUCCACACAUUUAUUAUGGAAGUUCAUAUUAAAACCUAGUUUAACCAACACCAAAACAGACACUAAAUUCCGACGAAUCUCCGGAGCAUACAAUACAUCAUGAAGAAACAAAGUGCGUCCACCACGCAUGUUCAAUUGGCAGGUGCCAAUUCCUUUCACUUCAGCUCUGGAGUUGUUUCCCACAUAGAUCCACUUAAUUCUAGUUAGUACUCGUCGGAAUUCCACAAAUGAUUCUCUAUCCUUCGCUACAUGGUCUGUCGCUCCUGAAUCUAUAGUCCAUAAAGGAUUAGACUCAAUUAAGAAUAUAGAACUCGACACAAAAGUAAAGUUCUGAAAAGUACAAGGGGUGUUUACCUUCUUUGGCUCACGACAGUCGCGAGCAUAGUGACCCUUCUUGUCACAAUUGUAACACUUCACCCUUGUAAGCUUUUUCAUUCGAGGACGCUUUCCUCUUUCAUGUUGGUUAAGCUUGGGUUUCUUCCCUGAAGGACCUACUUCCUUGCCUUUCCCUUUAUCAAACCAGUUAGGACGUUUGCGCUUAGAGCUCGAAGCUCCAUGUGAGCUAGAACCAGCAUGAUAGAUUUCAGCUUCUGGCUUAGCCACCAAGAGGCGGUCCUCUUCCAGCUCAAGAUGACGCAUUGCAUCCUCAAAGGUUUUGAUAUUUUCAUUAUGAGUCAGGUGCACCUUCAUAUGCUCCCAACUCUGAGGCAAGGAACAAAUCACUGCUUGCACUUGCUGCUCAUCAGUGAGGACAUGGCCAGCAUCUUUCAACUCAUGUUUGACAUCUUCUAAGAUGUUGCUUCAUGGUCUGACCAUGAGGCUUCUUAUAAGAGUCAAACCUAAUAGUGAGCUGUCUCAGUCUGGUCAUCGAAGUAUGACCAAAUCUAGCUACCAAUGCUUCCCACAUUUCCUUGGCAUUGUCAAAACGCCUAAACUCUCGCAUGACGUCAUUUUUCAUGCUGCUCAGCAACGUGAUGUGAGCAAGAGAGUUCUUUCUUUUCCAUGCAGCAAAACCUUCCUUAUCUCUCUUGUGCUGUGCAGUGUUUCCUUCUUCAGGUUCUACCAUGGUCAGGUUAAGAGCUUCAAGUGCCUCUUGCUCUUCCAGCACAUAUUGGAUUUUCAUGUGCCAUAUUUCAUAGUUGUCACCAUUGAGCUUUUCACCUUUGUUCAGCUCGGCAACUAUGCUCUUUGUGGCUGAAGCCAUUGAUCUAAACACAUCAGACAUAUAUGCACAAAUUAUUAAUGCCUAUCACUUAUGCAUCCCUUUUGCACAGACCCAUCAUAUUAAUGAACAAUUUCAAGUAAGGUUUUAGAAUCAAAAGGUCACUAAGUUUCCAAUCAUCCUCCAAAAAUCCUAACUUAAAACUAUCAUUAAUAUAAUUGUCUUAUGCAAAAUAAAUUCUAUGAAACUACAAAAACUUUUAUAACUACCCACAAUAACCAGCAAUAACAUAAAGCAAAUAAUAAUCGACAUCCAAUAAAACAAUAAUGCUUUCACAUAAUACAACUAACAUAUCGGUUGCUACAUCAACAACAAUCAGGUAGUAAAUAUUACAUAAGAUGUCCACAAAGCACACUUAACAAUGAUCAGCCAAUACAUCUAACACCAAGUCAGCACACGAACUGGGAAAGAUCCUCUUUUAUUCAAUUUCUUGAUCUUUUCCCUUGUAACAAUCCAAUAAUAUUCAUCUACAAAAUCCAUCACAAUUUUCUUAUAUGAAGUAGCUCUGUUGACAUCCCAUAUGCGAUUCAACACUCCUUGCCAUUCAGGUGGAAGGGUGUUCAUGAAAAAUCGCACCAUCUCUGACUGUGGCAUAAGACGACCAUUCCAUAUGACCUUUUGAAUUUUUCCCGUUGACUUCAAGGACGUGAUUAAUUAAGUCACCACUCUCCCAUCGAUGAUCAGUCAACUCAGCUAUCAACUUAGAAAGUCUUUCCUUUUGUUCAUCGGUAAUUGCGUGAAUAGGUGUGCGCAACCUCAGAGGAUACAUUGUUCCUGCAACAAAUACAGAACAAAUAAGGAAUCACAUAUAAUCCACAUAGACUUAAUUGAAAAAGAAACACAUUCUUUUCCUCCCUUUUUUUUUGGGGGUCAACGGUCAACGUAGUCGGUCAACGGUCAACGGUCGUCGAUCAACGAUCAGGUUGCUGGAUCGUUGGACCGGUCGGGCCGGGUCGGAAGAAUCGACCGGCACGAGCCACGCGCGUGCGCAGGCUGACGUCACACAGACGUCAUCCGGCACGUGCGCGGCAUGUGCCAGGCUUCCAACGGUCGUCGGCGAUGACAUCAUCCCAGUGGUUACCGUGACGUCACUGUGACGUCAGCACACGUCGGUUCGCCGACCGGCGUGUGCCGGUUCGCCGGCCGGCGGCGCGCACGUGCCGGUUCGCGUGCCGGUUCGCCAACCGGCGCGUGUGCCGCACGCGCUAGCCUAGCCAGCGCUUCGAGCGCGUCGCGCCUACGCGCAACGGCUUCUGGCCGCACGUGUGGGCGCGUCCGGCAACGCCCGACCCGUCGACGAACUCGUCUCGACGAGCUCUUUCACCCUAUGCCUUCAGAAAUCGAUUUUGACUUUCAGAAACUUGAAAAAAUGGAUGAACGGUGCUUGGGUGUUGGGAUUUUUCGCCCCGAUCCAUGUCGGCCGAGUAUUUUCGCGAAAAUUCAAUAAAAAAACAUGAAAGGUGUCGGGAAAACAUGAACUAGGGCUAUGAUACCAAUGUUGGGAUUAACGGAUUCCCAAAAACCAAAUUCGACACUAAAUCGAACCCCUAAAACGAAUGCGGAAGACAAGCCUAGGAAAAUCACGUAUCACCGAUCCUAAAGCACACCACAGAUUCGAGCGUACCUUGUUAGCCACAAAUUAAACACCGCCGCCGAUAUGAGGAAGAUAAUUUGGCCAUGUUCGAUCCGAUGACGCCAAUUCACCUUGAAGGGAAGAAAAACGUUGCCUUGUGCUUUACUAUUUUUCUUUUUGGAGAGAGAGAGAGGGAGAGGGACGUACGUACGUUAAUGAUUCCAAAAGGUGCGUUCUCCCUCUCUCUCCUCCCUUAUAUACAUCCCCUCUAAAAAUAUUAACAUAUCCCUUCAUCCAUGGGCCCUAAUUCUGUGGGCCGGGCUUUUAGGCCCAACAUGGGCGGACGGGCCUUAAGCCCAUUACAUAAAACCAUCAUAGCCUAACUUCAAAUGCUUCACGUACUGCCAUAUUUAGAGGAGUUCCACUGCCUCUUGAAGUCCAAUCGACUUCAAUGUGAAAGAAUCCAGCCACAACUUUUCUUCUCUUUCUUUGCCAGCUUCAAUUUGUUAACAGAUGGCUAAUCAAUGCAUGAAGACUAUCUUGGACUUUCCUUUUCUCUCUUUUUGACCAACGUGUUGCCCCUGCUUCAUGAAGACUUCACUCUCUACUUGUGAGAGGAUACAAUAUUAUAAUAACGUGUGCUCGUAAUUUUUGACCAAAACUUCUUUUUUCUUUUGUUUCAUUUUAUGGAGGUUCCAAAGGCAAUUUCCAAUAGGACACUUUUGUCUUCAACAGCUUCUCAUUGCUUCUUCAUACUUGCGGCUUCUUGUUUUCAACUAGGUGUUGACCAGAAGUUACAUUACUAUCAUCCCAAGUAGCAGAACCAAAAGUUACAUCUUCCAUAAUGAUUUCAUUACAUACAUAAACUCUGUUUUCAGUGAAUCUUUUGAGUUUUUAUUACUUUCCUUGUGGACAGGUGAAUGUUGAGUGAGCGAACGAAUAGUCAUCAUAACUAUAGUGAUGUAUGAACCAAUGAUCCCACUCCACCUAGGAAUCAGAACUUACUCCACCCUAGGCCUAGCCACUACCGAGUUCCAUGCAACUGAGGACAGGAUCGGCCAGUUAAACAGCGCUCGCCAACUAACAAAACCAAAGUUACAAGCCAAAAACUAGUGCAAAACUAUCAUUAUUUUAUAGCCAUGCUAAUUACCUAACAAAUAAAUUAACGUUCCACCCAGAAAGAGCACAAUGUAUCAUAAAAUGCAUCUCCAUCAUUGUCAACCUAUUCUUGAGUUGUCUCUUCCAAAAACCAAAGUUGUCGCCCAGUUCACCGCGACAUAGAAUCUGUUCCUCUAGCUGACUACCCUCGUGAGAUAAGCAGAAUGCCAAACCAGCCAACUCACAAAUCCCACAUGCAAUAUUCCCUUUGUGUCCUGCAAAAAGAAUGUUUGCAUAAGUGACAGUCAUUAAUUUAGCGAAUAAGUACGGGCACAUCAAAAUCUAGGUAAUAAACCAUUAGUAUGUCAUGGUAGCAUGUUAUGUACCUUAGACUUGUGUAAAUUGACAAGCGCCUUGUAACGCCCUACAGAAGCCAUGCUUCCCAAAUGUCUGUACACAAAUGGGUCUCUUAGAGGUAUGUCUUUCGAGCAAAAUGCUUUCCCUCCAUUUUGCUUCCCUAUCCUACGAAGUAGCUCCUCCAAGAAUUUCCCUUCCCUUUCUGUGACUUGUUUCAGAAAUUAGCAUUCGUGUUAUUUCCAAAGAAAGAAGGAAACCGAGCGUUUAUGCAAUGAGAAAGCAAUGGUGAAUGACCACUUCCAAGUUCAAAUGGAAGGAUGAUGCCACUUGUUAUACAAAGUAGAGCAAGGAACUAAAGUUGAAGAUUGUAGAUCAAACCAAAAGCUACAAUGAGACGUCUUUAAAGGAAUUAGACAGGGUGACUGAACCUGAGCUAAAGCAAGAAGCACCGGCCUCCCUGUCUGUUCAAGAAAACCCGCACAAUCUCCCGACGCAAAACACAUCUUCCAUUGAAGGUAUCCUCAACCAUUCGUCAACCCCAAUCCUAAAACAGUUGAGAGGACAAAUCAUUCAAUUGGAAGGUGGUGGAAUGCUAAAAUGAGAUCAUCAUAAGGUUCUUAUCCUCACCUUCCACCAGGGGAUUUGGGAAGAUCAAGUGACUUGAUAAACUCUAAGGGUCCAACGCCGGUGGACCAAACUAGGAGGCCAUAUGGAACAUCCGUACCAUCACUCAGCACAAUUUUCUUUGCAUGCACCUCUUUGACCACGCCUCUUUUAAGGCGAACACCAGACUAGCAUUGAAAGCAUUAAGGGCCCGUUUGGUUCAGCUUUGGGGAAAUGCCAUUGGGAGAAUGCAAAUACCUUUGAGAUAAAAGGGGUUUUCCGAAAUGCUAGACUGUUUGGUAAACUAAAACUGAAAAGUGCUUUAGGGAAAUGUAAAACUGUUUGGUAAACUUGUAUUUGAAAAGCCAUUUGGUAUGACCAAAUUAAGUGUUUUAGUUUUAAUAUUUUUAAAAUUGCAAAAAAGAAACAAUGAGUAUACAACAUUUUACAUUUUCAUGUUGAAAGUAAUGUAAAAGAUACAUAUUAGUAAAUUUAUUUAAAAAUUAUAUUAAAAGAAUUUGAUUAUAGAUUAGAUGCAAAGCUCAACUUUUGGCCUAGGAUUCUUUUAGGUUUGUUUUCAACUUUGAAUAGUUUUUUUUAAUUAUUAUAGUAUUAAUCAUAUUCGUUAAUUAAUUAUCAUUCUAGUAUAUUAAUAAAAAAGUUGGGCUAUUGAUUGUCAAAAGAUAAAAAUGAUAUAGCAAAAAAGAAAAAGUGAACUUAUUCGGUGGAUGAUAAAGCGACCGAUUGUGGAUGCUAUUUUUUUUUUUAGUAAACACCGCAUAUAAAAAGGGAGGUCUUCAUUAAGAAAAAUAAAACCAAGUUCCUCUCAUACAAAUUUGACUAGAAACAUUUCAUGAUAUUUAACAUGGUCAUAUAUGUCCCAAAAAAAAAAGAAAUACGUCGAAUGCAAAUCAACAUCAAAAUGAACUGUUAGAAAAGAUGACAGUAACUUGAGAAAGAAAAUCAACUUACCCUUGUUAGAUGAUUCGUCGCAUACUGCCUUAAGCUAACGUCGAAUGCUGACAGGAUUUCAUUGCCUAUUAAAGGGUGUACUUGUCAUUGCAUGUUAUUUACAAUUUUUCCGAACUGAUGCUAGCAUCUGCAUGCAAGUGUGUAUGAGUACCUCAAUAAGGGUGACUUGAAUGUAAUCCUUAACAUGAGGAAAAUGUUCACAAACGUCUUUCAUGAUAAAAUCACUUAAUUCAUCACUAAACUCCACCCCAAUUGGUCCACCUCCAAUGACAAUACAGUGUAAAAGGCGUUUCCUCUCUUCUUCUAAUAUGCCUAUAAGAUACAGAGAAAUGAAGCCGUAAAAUCUCGCCGAUCAUUAAUUAUUGAAAAUGUGGAGGCGACAACAAUGAGCAUUUUCUUCUAUUUUUGUGGCUUUGAAGGUUGCUCUUUAAGUGCAAUUCAUGACGUAGGAGAAUUGAAGUACCUGGAUUUUCAGAGAGCAUGAGGUUCAACAAAAGCUUCUUCCUGAUUUCUUGGGCAUGAUUCACCUCACGAAGGAAGUAGGCAUGUUCCUUAACACCUUUUGUACCAAAAGUCAAGGGCUCAGCUCCGGCUAUGAUGACCAGCUUGUCGUAUGCGACUUUAAACCGGUAAGGCUCUUGAGACAGUCUGCCGUAGCCAACCGUUUCACAGUACACCUGGUCAAUAUGGAAUGAGAUUUACCAAAAGAGACAAACAGAUAGGAAUUACGUAGCAUAAUUGCAAAACCUAGUGUCUUUUGACAUUUCGUACUGGUGCAUCUUCAGUUCCAUCACCUUGAAGAAAUGAAAUUUAACCUUAUCUCACUAUGCAGUAUGUACCUAAAUCACUUUUCGACAUGUCCAACAGUGUGUACAAUGCAUGUCGAUAUAUGUUAGUUAGUUCACCUAUCACAGACAGAAUUCUUAUAGCCAGGACCUCGACACAAAUGCAAAAGUGUGGACAAUCCAUCUCAAUGUUUGUCACUCGGCAUAUCGUAAAUUUAUGAUGUUUGUUCAUUGCUACUUGAAGAAGAUGGAGGAAAAUUCCAGUCAAUCAAUACAUGCAAAAUGAAAUGGAACUGACCAUAUUCUUGGAGGAAAAACUAUAUGAGCAUCAAGAUCAACAUACGAUAGCCAGAUAUUCAACUUACUUCAUGCUUGGCAGUGUCAAUUCCAGUGCAGGAAGCCAAAUGGAAGUACGAAUUGGGAGUUGCCGCAAGAGCAGGCUCUAUCCAGUUCACGGGCUCUGUGACCGAACGGAACUCCAAAGUUCCAACACAUGUCGAUGGAAGAAGGGGAGUGAAAACCAUGUGAUUUCGGGGGGAAACGCACACGAUAUCAUAUAUGCUCAUAUCAAGCCCCUUCAUGAACCGGCAAGCCACCCACCCAGUACCAAGAACGACCACCCUUGGCUUUUCUCCGGGCUUAGUCGGUUCAAGACCUGUAUAUCUGUCCCUCUCAUAUGCAGAAUCGGACUCUGCCAAUGCCCUCUCAGUGACAAGAAAUUGAUCAUGUGGGGUUGUCCUAAUUCCUCUGCUCCACUUACUAGCACAAUCUAACUUAUUCAAUGGUCAAAAAAAUCGCUUCUCGUGGGGAUACCUUUGAAAGAAGAAAAGGAAAAUGAUUUCGCGAGUACUCCUCUAAAAAUUUCUUCUUUUCCAUCUGUCAGGCUCCCAACAGCACCUCCUGUUCUUCUCAGGUUGCUUCGAACAAAACUUGCAAAUGCCAAUGGGUAAAACACUAGUAAUUCAAAUGCAAGUCAAUAGCCUGGAUCUUUAGGCCUAUUGAUGAAAUUGCACCUGAGAAAAAAGAGACGCUUGGGCUUAAUGCUAUAAGAAAAGCAGAAAGAUAUAGAGAAAGACUGUGCAAUCGCUCCAUGAUAUCAGGAGGAGGUAAAGACAACAUGUAGAACAACUGGAGUUUGGUCCAAGCGAAAUGGAGACAAGUAAUUGGUGUGUGACAACUAUUUCUUCAAUGACUGCUGGGACAAAGACCAGAAGCCAACUUAGCAUGGGUCAUCAACUGAUGGCACAUGCAAUGAGAAAAUUUCUUGUGGUUUUCUAUAAGCCAAUAAAAGACAACAAAAAAGGCCUAUAUUUCUGGUAGGAAAGGCAUGAUUUGUAACUGACUCAUUCAAUCAAAGGCUUGAUCUUUUGUGCAACAGCCAAUUUGAUGAUUUCAAGAAUCUCGUUUGACUAGAUUCCAAAAAUCCACAAAGUGCAAAUCUCACCAAGUGUCAGCAUAUGCCUGGAGGUUUACAUGGGAUGCCAUGAUCGAGAACAGUGAAAAAAGAAUAUCAACAGACACAAACGGUUUGCUUUCACCUGCUCUCUAAUAGGAUGAACACCCAGAUAAAAGUAGAACAAAAGGAAAGAACAGUUCUUUUCACCUAGAACUUUAUCAGUUCCUCAAGGUGCAUCACAUAAAGGGUCGUUAGCUGAAUACUGUUUGAGAGUGCAUGUCGAAUAUUUAUUAGUCUAACUACAGAGAGGUUAAAUAAACCAAGUGCAGAUCUAACCAGGGAGCUCUGCAUCUAGAAACACCAACAAUCAAUCAAUAGUGGCCCCCCUAACAAUGUAAAUGCGAAUGGUCGGUAACCCCAAAAGACAGCGACAAAGGCCCCGUUUGGUUCAGCAUUUCCAAGGGCUUUCAACCCGGAAAGCCCUUUGGGAAAAAAAAAGUCAGCCCUUCUUGUUUACUAUCCUGUCCUUUGAAAAUCCUCAAUCAGCAUAGAAAAACUCGGACGUUUCAUCAGGUUCAAGGACUUGUAUCGGAAGCAACAAGCUUGUCAAUAUGCAUGGACAUCGACAAAGUCACAAGUAAACAAGCAUUCGCAACAACCACCUGGUAACACCACCACAAGGUUCACUACCCGCGAUCAGUAUUAAAAAAACAGAGAGCUUCCUUGCUAAUGCUUCAUCAAAAUCCGACCUUUACCGUCUCAAAAGGUCAGAUGGGUCUCUACAUGGUUUAGCGAGGAAAGAAACAAGGAUAGCUCAAACCUUGUCAGUUCUUGACAGCCACCACCUUAUUCAUCUAAAGCCAUGUUACUAAGGAAUUUCGCAUGCCAAGCAAGGGCCAGAGGCAGUAGAGCGAAUGCUUAAACCGCAAGGCGAUGUCAAUGGAGGUUUCAGGUUCCAAGUUCAACCAAGACAAAGCUUUCGAGCUUUCGAGCUUGAGUUGAGGCAGAGGAGAGAGAGGGUCCAAUAUCUCAGGAGCUUCAGACAAGGUGCAACAAUCCCAGAGAAUGAACCUCAAAUUGCGUCACAUGUCCAACGUGGGCCCACGUUGUCAAGCCAUUUUCUCCCUACUUUUCUCUUUAGGCAUUUGGUUCAGCAUUUGGAGGUGUCAUUGGCCAAAUGCUAGCAUUUGGAAUGCUGAUAUAAGAGUUAAUGAGUUUUUUUUCUUUCCAAUAUUACCCCCAUUAUAAUUGUGUUCUCCUCUUUUGCCCUCAUAAGACACUGUUCAUCAUCUUCUUCGGGUGACUGUGCACGGUGGGCGGCGCUCAGCCGCAAGCGACCAGAUCUAGCCGCCAGGAAGCCUCGCUUGAGGUCGCACGACCUCAGGCAAGGUGGCUUGAGGUCGGGUGACUGUGCGACCCAGGCGACGCCCGAGGUCGCCUGACCGCAAGCAAGGUGGCUUGAGGUUGCGGCAGCGUCACCUGGGUCACUCGACCUCAAGCAACGCCACCGGAGGCCCGACGUUGCCUGGGUCAUGCAACCUAGGCUCGCCAGAGGUCAGCGCGACCCCCCCCCCCCCAAACCGCCGUCGCCGCCUCCGCCGCCACCGUCGCCACUAGCCGCCUCCCCACCACCACCGGCGCCACUGUAGAGCCACCUCCCCCCACGAUUUUCCCCUCUCCACCCAGCUGCAUCUCCUCCCUUUCUUCUUUUCUUCUCUUUUUUUUUUCCUUUUUCUUUUCAACCUAAAGCUACUUUGCAAAUAUACACAUUUUUGAGUGUCCAUACACACUAGCAUUCACAAAAUGCCCAUUCAGUCAAAGAUACUUGAGGAAAUGCAAAGUCAUUUCCCCAAAAUUGAACCAAACGGGCCCUCUCUCCUAUAUCCCCACUUUUCUCUCUCUUCUUCUCUCUCCCUCCUCUGCAUGUUCUCUCAGCCAAUUUCUCCCCACUUUUCUCUCUCCUCUCUUUCUCCUCUCUCCUGUUGGAUGCAAAACAUGUAAUCCAAAGAUCUCUAUAACAAGAAUAAGAGCAUAGAUGAUUGAGUAGAAAAAUUAACGUACCUGAUUUGGAAUCCAUCAUUCUUGAUGCAGAAGCGAAAAGCGAUGAUCCACACGCAAGUCAUUCUCCUCUAUUGCCCUAUGUAUCACAAGCUCAAUGAGAUGGCCCCUUACCCUUUAGCACUAGGUAAACGCUCAUUAUGUGAGGAUAGUUAUGAAAAUUAGGAUUAAAUGAGAAACUUGAGCAAUAUUUAUAUAUUUUCCAACUAGGCCCUCUCAUUACAGGCUAGGGGCCCACACUAACAAGUCCCUUAUUAGACUAAUUAAGAAACAUUCUAUCUCACCUUAGAACAACCCCGUAAAACGGUAAAUUACAAUAUCAAAUAAUGUAGCCCACAUCAGGAAAAAGCUUACAUUCUCCCACUUGGGCUAUAUUAAAUGAAAUUGUACUGUAUGUGCGCAUAUUAAUCGAGAGAUAAUUCUUAAUAGUCAAUCUUAUCCCAUAAAAUUUCAAACACCGAAUUAUGGCGGUAACUAUAUGUAACAUAUAGAGCCUUCGAUGGUCACAAGUGCUUUCAAUUUUAUUGAUAUGGAUUCAAUAUGAUAGUGUGGCAAAUGAAUAACUUUUCUCAUAGAGAUAUCCCAUUUGUCAGUCACCAUUCUCUUCCCUUAAGCAUCACAAAAAACUUGUGCUACUAGAGAAUUUCUUUAUGGUUCCAAUGAACCCACAUAUAACAUGUCCUUACAGUUAACAUUUCUUUAUAUAUAACAAGACAUAUGCACAAGGCUAAUAACUGGAUGCCCUUAGCCUUCACUCAAGAUUUAUACAAUACCUUGAGACUUUAUUAAUAUGUAUUCAACAUAAUAACAACACAUUCAAAAAUAUUUUAUUGAAUGCAAAAGUUGAUACAUAUCAAACAAUUACUAAGUGUAAUGAACACAGAUGUAAACUUUAUUACAGUAAAACCGAAAUAACUCUCACUAAACAACAGCAUCUCAUGAUGCUCUUAAGUUUAUAUUAAUGACAUGUCAUUCAAGAACAGAAGAUCGAAGUCCUUUAGUUAGUGGAUCUACAAUCAUAUUAUCUGCGAAAAUAUGUUAUAUUAAAACGUCACCUUUCUGUAUCGUUUCUUUAUGGUAAAAAAAUUGACUGUCAAAUAUUUAGACUCAUUGAGAUCUAUGUCGUUAAUAAAAAUAUUAUAAAUUUAUUGUCUCAAUACAACCGUAUGGAUCAAUCCAUAAAGUUAAAAACGAAUAACUCCUUAAUGAGGUUCCAAAGCCUAAUAGCCUAAGUAAUAGCAUAAAAGAAUGUUACUAACUUUGCUUACAUAGUGGAAGAUGACAUUGAACUUUAUUUACUACAGUUCUUGCUAACAUAAAUAUGUAUUCUGUUAUUGAUCUCAUGUCAUCCUAACAGCCAGCAAAGUUUUUUUUUUUUGUAAAGAACAGCUAGCAAAAUUUACAUCUAAAUACCCUAUGAAGAAAAAAAAGUAAAAACAUAUAAUCGAAGAGAGAAAGGAUGAGGGGUUUCUAGUGGGUGGGUCCAAACAUCACACGUGUCGAUUAUUGAAUGAUUUUGUACAGGAUUGAUGAGGCAUUACUCAUGCACUAGAGUGAUAUGAAACAACAAAGAUAUGGUAAGACGAUGGAGGGAAAUCAAAGGAAGUAGGCGGAAGGAGCAAGAGCGAGAUCGAUCUUGGAUCGUCAAGUUAGAAAAGAAAUAGUCCUUUGAUGCUAAAUUUUCCCUUUCUUCAAAAUAUCAAAUCUAAUCUCGAUAUCAUGUGAAAUCUUAUGAAGAGAGGUCACGAAUUUGAACUCGAUGAUUUGCCUCACUACAGUCGAAGGAGUUUUCCUCUUGAUCUUGUAACAGGCGCUCCAAGGGGCCAAUAAUCAAGACCAAGCAUGCAUCAAAAGUCAUCCUUUUUUCUCAAGGUUAUUUAAUUCGCUUAUAUUGUCAAGGAAAGUAUGAUGUACAGCUUGCUAAAAUUUCGCGUACCAUUCAUGAGAAAAAAAAAGUGGGAAAUCUCUCUUUGUUUGAAACUUAAAGAAUUAGGUCAAGGCUGAACAAAUUAUAUUUGGUUAGCCUAUAUUUAAAUUUCACGUAAUUGACAAAAAUAAAAUAAAAGAUCUUGAAAUCAAAUGAAAUAUAAUUAUCGAAUUGCUACUUAAAAAAAAAAAUCACGCGAGGAAGGAAAAGUCCAUGUUUGCAAACGUUUGCGCUCUCGUGUUUCACCUUCCGCACGCAAAGGUUUGGAGGGCGGCGCCCAGGGCGCGAAGAGACCAUUAAGCCCUCAGCUCAUCACCUCGGCCAAGAAGUCAACGGGAGGGUAAUUAUGGGAUUUCCAUCUACUUAUUCCCUAACCCCCCAAACCAAAAUCACGAGGUCAAAAGUGAGGGAGACAAUGUUUGACGGCGGCCCUUGGUUUUUUUUUUUUUGUCAGUCCUACUCUAUUCCUACUCUACACUCACUCUCAGACUUUUGCCCUGCCUCUUGCAGGGCGUGGGAGUCGAAACCCACUCUUGAAACUUACGCGUCCCCAUCCCAUCCCCCCCUGAGAAGGUGGAGAUUUGAACCCCUCACCUCCCUCUUCCAUGUUGGAAGGGUGGCCACUGGGGCGAAUCCCAGUGGUUACGGCGACGCUUGGUUGGAAUCCAAGAAAAAGACAUUCGGUUUGCCAAUGAGAGAAGACACUUCAUUCCAACGAAUCUUGUUACUUAAUAAUAAUUUUUAUUAAUCAUAUAUUGCAACUUAUCAUCAAGUGAAAAGAUUCAUAAGAAUUAAAAACAAAAAACAAGUGCAACCUUGGGACAAACAAUUUGAUGAAUUUUUUUUUUUGGUAACCUAGGGAACCCGCGCACCAUACCAACACGAACAACCCGAAAGGCUCAGGGUAAUGAGGGGUAAACCCUGAGGGCAACACGUGCUAGCCACCACACACGUGCCACUGGGUAAGUCAACUCCUCCCCUUGCGUUAGAGGGAGAAGCUCGCCGCCAGCAGCGCCACCCAGGUGAGUGGUAACAAUUUGAUGAACUUUUGUGUUAUGCAUUGCAAUAAAUUUCAUCAUCAAUUACUAAAAAAAAUAGAAAACAAAAUAGAAGAUGAAAAUCAGAUUGCAACUCCAUAGUUAGAUGGAGCUUUCGGACUCACAUGAAGGCAAAGAAGAGACACUAGGAAGCUUCCCACAAUCAUAUUCUGCAAUACCCUUCACUACUCUACCAAAGAGGAGCCCAUAGAAUAUGACAUCUCUUAGGAACCUCAUGAAUCGACUAGACCCAUCUUGCACCCUUGCAAUGCUGUGAUCAGUGUCGCCACCCUCAAUCUCCUCUCCUUUGCGUACCUCUCUAUAGCAAAUCCGAUGUCUCCGGUCACCAGUUUGCCGUGCUUGGCAAUUGAGUCCCCAAGGUGCCUACCCAAUGCCACCGCGUCCUCGAGAGCCGAACAUCCUCCCUGGCCCAAGUCGGGAGUCAUCGGGUGCAUAGCGUCUCCAGCCACCGUGAUGCUUGAUCGAAAUAGGUUUCCGAACAGGAUGUCCCAAGGAUAUCGGAACAUCAGUGGUGCCCAUGUCAAACUCGAAAGAUCGGAGUGCUUGACGACAUCGAGGUACACGGGUGGGAAGUCCUUCGCCAAAGUUUCCAUCACCUCCCUUUGUAUCAUUUCUGGAUCUGCUUCUUUUUCCACACCUUUAUAAAUGGAAGCGUUAGGGAUCGAGGAGGAUUAGUAAGCUAGUAUUGAAGGAGCCAUCGUGGUUGGGAAUCUCAGCAGAAGAUAAAAUGUAGUAUACAUGGUACCUUUAGGAGGACACGUGGCCCCGAAGAACCAAUACAAUUCCUUAUCAUUGAGAGCAAUAAAACCUGCCCUCUCGCCCACAUCCAGAAAUUGUUGAAUCGGAUGGCCAUGAUCAAAACCAUGACCUUCUGGGAACACGGACAAUCCGCGCACUGUCGACCGGCCUGAAUAGACUGGCGAGCGAAGUCCAAGCCAACGGGCCACGAUAGAGUGCACGCCAUCGCAUCCUAUAACAACCUACAUGUAUAAUAUUUUCAGUGUGGAUAAGUUAAAGUCGAUAAGUUAUCUCAUCAUAUUUGAAAUCAAAAGAAGGUUCUCUAGAAAUUGUAGGGAACCUUAGACUUUAUGAUGGUCCCAUCAUCGAGCAUGACAAUACAAGUGGACAAGCCGUGUUCUACUUGGGUUUCGAUGGAAGUUAUCUUGGAAGAGAAUCGAAUGCUAUUUGGAGGAAGUUCCUCCGCCAGAACUUCCAACAAGACUUUUCAGUGGACCGCUCUUGGUUGGGCUCCAUUCCUGCUCAACCCAAAUGGAAUGAUUUUCUAUCCUUGGAAUACGAAAUGACAUGCAUAAAAUAAUAACAUUUGUUGUGGGAGAAAAAAAAAGCAGUCGAAAUAUAAGAUAAACAGGGCAAGAAAAUAAAUUGAAUAUUGAAUUUACGUGACUCGAUCAGUGAGAUCUACUCCACUCGAAAAAAUGGCACAAGACCCACUAACGAAAACUAUAAUUACAAAUGAGUUAUUUAAACACUCUUAUUGUUCUCUCAAUGGGGGUUGCUCUUCACGAAAAAGACCCCUUCUUAUGUAGAAAAGAAUGAUCCAAAAUAGGAAAUUUAUUGUGGAAUUUUACUUAAUCUAGGAAACCUAGUUGGAUCGAGUUCUCUUUAUGGGUCUCAAAUUCUAGACAUAUUUUCAACAACAUAAUAGAAUAAAUUACCCAAUUCUAUCUAACAAAAGGAGUAUUAUAUUUUCAAACUCUAUUAUUGAUGAUCUUCUUAAAAGAUGAGUUGUCAAAAUAGGGGCUAAUAGUCCCAUUCAUGGUAUAUUUCUGACGGUCAUUUGUAUCAUUUUGUGCAAAAUAAAACAUAUAGUAACCAAUUACAAGAAAUUAAUCAGUCUGAAACAUUAAACAGUAAAUUAGCAUAUAUGAGAGGAAAUUUGAGAUUCACCUGUUGCCUGGAUAAUGCACAACUUGAAUCGAUUUAGUCUUGACAUCAGUUAUGUAUCCCCUGACCAAGUACAAAACAAUAUAUAUAUAUAUAUAUAUAUAUAUAUAUUAAUAAGUAAAAUUAUUUUUGUCAUCUUUGAGAAAUUGUAGGACAGAUUAAGGUCCAGCAUCCUGGAUCAAUAACCGAUUUAAGAAGCUUCCAAAACAGCGAAUCCUAAAAUCAAUUUAACAUAGUACAAAACCAAUGUAGAGCUUAUCUUUCUACUCAGCACUUUUUCCCUGCAUUUGAUGAAUAUCUAAUUAGUUAUUUUAUUCUAAGCAUUAAUGGCAUUAGCAACCUCAAUAGGUAAAUUUCACGGUGCACUUUACAACUGGGAAUGAUCUCAAUUUUCAUGAUUUUCUCCCCGUGCAAGAUGUGUGACCACUUUUUGACCAAUUUUUUUAAUACCUAACUAACACAGUUUGUUAAUAACCAAAAAAAAAAAAAAUUCAUUGCGUCAUAUGAAGGUCUAGUCACUGAUUGAAAUGGGUUUUGAUUUUUUUAACUACUUUUCACUAUAAAAGUGAUUUACUUUGAGUUGGUUUUACCCCCAACGAGCUAGCACAAGAUUAGGAGUAUUUAAUCUCUUCUAAAAGAUGCUUAUACUAAUUCAGCAUCAAUCAAAUUUGAGUGCUGUCAUCUUUAAUAGCAGAGAAAUCACGCAUUUAACUCUCGAUCUGUACAUGAUUGUUGAACUAAAGAUUGGACCGAGUUUUAAUACUUCGAAACGAUAAAACAUUCCGCAAUAAUCAGACAUCUGUUUUCAAGAGCAAAGAGCGAACAAGGACCUCACUUUUCCCGAGUGCGUCGAGCGCAACCCACGCAUUAGCAAAGAGAAUGAGAGCCGCACCGGUCGUUCGGAGCUCCUCCGAUCUCUCAAGGACGAGGGCUCGGACACCGACCUUCUUAAGGGCCACCGCCGUCGCCAGACCUGCGAUGCCGGCACCGACUAUCACCAACCUGCGAUGCCGGCACCGACUAUCACCACCUCCUCCAUGUAUGGUCGUGUUCUACUUCGAGCGUGGGAGCGUGCGCCACGUGUGCUUUUGGGAUAAGGAGUCUCUUAUCUUGUGGUCGCUAUUUAUGGAGUGGCAAACUUGUCGUCUUUUGAUAAUUACGUCCAGCCACAGAAUGGAGGGAAUGAUUGAACGCAAUGCGAGCCAUUUCUAGAAAAUUUCGGUUUUUAUUUCAAAAAGAGUGAAAUUAAAAUUUCCAACCUGAAUAUAGACUUCUCAAAUUCAUUUGAUUUUCCAGAUUCUCUUCGGUUCUUUUCUCUAUUUUACUAAGCUUUCGCUCUUGUAAGGGGGAUUUGAACUUGCUUUGUUGGGUUUAGCUUUGUGACAUCCAUAAGUUUAAAACGUGUAACUUGUUAAGCUGUAAAUUGUCUGAUUGACAGUACGAGGGACUUCAGAUUGCCAAUUUCGAGCUUGGUCUUUAUUGAGGACUCUUACGUGAGGGGGCUGGCUUUCAUUUAACAAAUUUUUAGUGACAUUUUGCAUACUUCAGUUGCAGCAACUAUUUUUGGGAAAAUUCCAAAUAAGGACCCGAAGUUGACCAAUUUUCUCAAAUAAUGACCCGAAAUGAACUUUGUGUCAAAUAAAGACAUAAAGUGGAUCCAUUAUCUCAAAUAAUGACCCGAAGUGGUUGAAUCAAUUUCAAAUAAGAACCUAAGCUUGCUGGUUAGCCAAAUAUUCACCAGCUAUCAAGCAUGUGAAAGUUCCAACGAUUAGAGUUUGGGCAAUUUUGUCCAAAAAAAAUAUAGGGAAAAUUAACAACUCCUAAAACAGAAAAAAAAAACCCUAGGUUUUCUACGGUCUCCCCGUUCCUUGUACCCAUCCGCCGCAAAGUCAAAGACUGAAGUUCUCCCCAUUCCUUGUACAUAUCCUCCGCAAAGUCAAAAACCCAGAUUCUCCACCGGUUGAGACAUGAAUUCAAAAACAAGAAGAAAACUAGACGCUUCUUUCUUUGUUUGCGGAGACACAAAUUCUCCGUCGGUUGAGCAAGGCAAGGAGUAGCGGGGGGAAGAAAGAAGAAAAUGUAAACAUCUAAAUGAAUAACCUAAACUUAAUUAAUAUAGAAUUUUCCCUUUUUUUCCAAUCACAAAUUUCUAACAAAAUUGCCCCUAUUUUAAUAGCCGGAAAAUGUUUGCCGGUGAGCUAAGAUCCUCAAUAGAGAUUAACUUGAUUACUUCGAGUCCUUAUUUGACACAAAAUUCACUUCAGGUCCUUAUUUGAAACAAUGGGUCCAUUUCGAGUCCUUAUAUGACACAAAGUUCACUUUUGGUCCUUAUUUGAGAAAAUAGAUUCACUUUGGAUCCUUAUUUGGAAUUUUCCCACUAUUUUUUGGUGAAAAUUCCAGCAGCAACGGCAGUGCUUACGUCAAAUGCCCAGAUUGACCAAACGUCCUCUGUUGACCAUACAGUCAACUAGUCGUCCUCUAUCACAGCUGCUAUAAACCAGGAUGAAUUCAAAGAGGAUUAUUUUGAAUUAAGGCGAGCUAUUUUCAUCCUCAAUACGAAUAAAUUCACUCCUUUUCUUCUCGAUAAACCAAAUCGGCUUUAGUGGUUUCCAUAUAUGCACAAUUUCAUUUAACUUCACUAUUUCCCUUUUGUGAUCUUCCGUUGAAGUCAAACUUAUGAUGUAAAGGUGGUUAGAAAAUAUCAAGCUUAGUUAACUAGCUAAUAGUCUUCAAAUUAAACAGACGUCACAUUAAAUAAACAUUGUUGAUCACAGAGGGCUUCUCAUACAUAUCCGGCAGGGCUUGCAUCAAAUCAGCAAUAGUCUUCUCCUUCAAGAUGUUAAACGCGACGUUACGAGCCAAUGUCAGCCGAAUAACACCCAUAGCUCGUCUAUCCAGCAAAUCUCAAUCAGCUUGCUUCAUCGUCUCUAGUUUCUCCCCAGAUAAAGGCAAGUGCAGUUUCAUCUGAUAAAGAUAAUCUUCAAUCUGCAUCUUCCGGAAACUAAAAUAAUUCCCAUCAAAUCUGUCGAUUCUCACUUUUACUUCUUCUGUCGCCAUCGAUUUGCUUCAACUUAGCCAAGCCUAGAUACCAAUUAUUACGAUAGGGCGAGCAAUCGAACAAUAAUAUAGACAGAAGAAGAAAAUAAAUCGGACACCAGAUUUACGUGAUUCGGUUGUAAAAACCUACGUCCACGGGGAGAGUAGCAACGAAUUUCACUAUAGAUCAAGCAAUACAAGGAGAUUACACACUCGAGUCACUUGAUAACUCUAUAAAAAUAGAGUUAUUUUACCUAUUUUAGGCAACAAUUAAUGCAUUAUCUAUGAGAAAAUAUUUGGAUUUCCUUCUGAUUAUUUAAAUUUUCCUUGUUUAUGCAGAAUAAUGAGAUAUGGAGAAGAUAAGGAAAAUAAUGGCAAUUAUCAGGAAUUCAAAUAAAAGCAGCAGUGGAAGAUAGAUAUCAAAUCAGGAAAUUCUUGAUUUUGUUCCCUAAUGUUAUCUGCAAGCGUUGGGAGAUAGAUAUCUUGGAUAUAUCCUAUAAAUAGAGACAGAGAGAGCAGCUAGGUUUUUUUUUAGGGAGAGGAGGAGUGAGAUCGUUUUCCAUUGUUCUGAGAGUUUUUUCAAGUAUUUUGAAGAGAAGACAAAAGUGGUGACAGAAUUCUUGUUCUUUGAUUCAAGAUGCUGGGUUUGAUUUAUAUUUAUAUUUUUUCUUCUACUAUGUUCUAAUUUUCUUUUGUUAGGGCUACGAUGUAACCUAACCAUGAUGAUGUGAAUUUCAUGAUUUUUAUGUUAUACAAUUGAUUUCAUUCAUGUGAGUUAUAUAUUAUUGCGUUUAAUGCUUUUGAGUGACUGGCCACCUCUUGAAUGAUCUGAUGUGCAUGUUUGAGACUGAGAGGUGAUAAUAUGCAAUUGCUCAUUAUGAUAUAUAACCAUGAAUUAAACGUGGAUAGAAAUAUACCGCGUUAUUUGUGUAGCUUUCGGUGAUAAGGCGAUCCAAAAGACUCGUUGUAAACCGGGAAUAUUCAUAGUUUUUAAUGUACUCAUGUUUAUUUUAAUUCACAUAGAGAUAUAGUGGAUUAAUAAGCUGAGUAGGUUUGCUAUACCUAGAGAUAGGAUAGUAAAUAGGUUAGGAAAUUCCACUAUCACAUGUUUGAUAUCGUUCUUGUAUUCACAAUAAUCUUAAAUUCAUAUCUAGUGGUUAUGGUGAAAUCGGAUGCUCUAACAUAUUUAUCUUAUUGAUUUUACUGCAUUUAGUCUUCAAAGUUUUCAAUUUUCGUUUUUAAUUUAUUCUUAAUUAUAUUUUGAUCUGUUAGAUAAAUUUUAGAAUUAAUCUAUUUUAGUAUUUAAUUAGUUUAUUAAUCAUCGAUCUCCGUGGGACGAUACUUUAUCUCAUCAUUAUAUUACUUGUUCGAUACGUAAACUUGCGUUUAGAAUUUUACGAACAAGUUUUUGGCGCCAUUGCCGGGGAUCGUUUGUUUAAUACUAAUUAAUAUUGAUACCAGAUAAUUCUAAAUUUAAUCUAGCUUUCGUUUUGUUUUAUUUUUCAGGGUGUACAUCAGUUUAUGACACGUAGCCAACAAGAGGAGCUUGUUGAGCUUGAUCCAGAAAUCGAGCGUACAUUCAAAAGGCGACUAAGAGAACAAAAAAAUCACGCUAAGAUGGCAGACGGUGAUAAUGAAAAUCCACGUAGACUCUUAAGAGAUUAUGCUGCGCCAACAGUUCAAGGCACCACAUCAAGUAUCAGAAGACCUGCAAUUCAAGAAAACAACUUUGAGAUUAAGCCGUCACUUAUUCAGAUGCUUUAACAAUCAGUGCAAUUCAGUGGGCUACCAAGCGAUGAUCCAAACGCUCAUAUCGAUGCUUUCUUGAAAUCUGUGACACCAUUAAAUAUAAUGGAGUUACAUAUGAUGCUAUUAAAUUAAGAUUAUUUCCAUUCUCUCUUAGAGAUAAAGCUAAGAGUUGGCUUUCUUCUCUUCCUGCAGGAUCAAUUACUACAUGGAAUGAUAUGGCUCAUAAAUUUCUUGGUAAGUUCUUUCCACCUGCAAAGUCUGCGAAGAUGCGUAACGAUAUUACUAAUUUUAUGCAGAUGGAUAAUGAAUCAUUAUAUGAAGCAUGGGAAAGAUUCAAAGAAUUUCUUAGGAGAUGCCCACAUCACGGACUACCCGUAUGGAUGCAGGUACAAACUUUUUAUAAUGGCUCUAGUGCAAAUCUUCGUUCUAUGAUUGAUGCAGCUGCAGGGGGGACUUUAAAUAAUAAAACACCAGAAGAAGCCUACAAUUUAUUAGAAGAGAUGGCGUCCAAUAAUUAUCAGUGGCCUACUAAGAGAUUACCAAUGCGAAAAGUUAGCGGAGUUCAUGAAGUGGAUGCUUUUGCUGCAAUUGCUGCACAAUUUGAAGCAAUCAACAAAAAGCUUGAUAAUAUGAGUGUUUCAGCCAUAAAAAUUCACACUUUGACAUGUGAUUUUUGUGGUGGGGGGACAUGUUAGCACAGAGUGUCAGGUAGGUAAUACUUUCAAACAAUCUCAUGAAAAUUCUAACUUUGUUGGGAAUUUUAACAGGUCACAGAAUAAUCCCUCCCCAACACAUACAAUCCGGGAUGGCGCAAUCAUCCAAAUUUUUCAUGGAACAAUCAGAAUGUGACGAGACCACCUGGAUUCAAACAAUCAGAAGAGACAAAGUCAAAUUUGGAAAAUAUAGUCACCAAACUUGCUAACACAACUCACGACUUCAUCAAAAGCACGGAUGUGAGAUUUCAAAACCAAGGGUUCUUUAGCAAGCAUGAUGUCAGGAAGGCAACAGGGUUCUUUACCGAGCAACACAGAGAAAAAUCCAAUUGAAAACAUAAAGGCUAUUACCCUGAGAAGUGGUAAACAAGUGGGAGAAGAAGAGAUUGUCAAAGACAAAGAAGAGGUGAUCAAUAAACAAUCAAAGGAGACAAGUAAGAGUAAACUUUUUCCAAAUAAUCCCAGGCCAUAUGUGCCACCAAUUCCAUUCCCUCAGCGACUCCAGCAGCACAAAAUAGAUAAGCAAUUUUCUAAAUUUCUUGAUGUAUUUAAAAAAUUGCACAUUAACAUUCCUUUUGCAGAUGCUUUAGCGCAAAUGCCUAGUUAUGCAAAAUUUUUGAAGGAAUUACACACAAAUCUUACCACAAGAUUAAUCGGCUACAAACGCUAAAUCUUCUUGGAUGUAAUUCACGGAUAAGAACGACAAAGAAAAUCCCUCCUAAGCACUCGACAACGAGACAGCGCUUCAAGACCAAUUCUUCAUGAUCAACCUUCUUCCAUCUACAGCCACAAGUCUAUAUAUAUAUAUAUAUAUAUAUAUAUAUAUAUAUAUAUAUAUACCCUUAUUCUUUUGCCGACUUCUCAUAGGAUUCUAUUUCCUAUCUUGCCCGAUUUUAUCCAAAACAUAUCUCUGUAUAUUUUAAACAAAAUCCAAGUCCAAGUCAAAGUUGAACUUUCCUAUUUCGGUGGCCAGACUCUCCAACGUAGAUUCAAAUUUUGGUGAGUUGAUCUUCGGAUCUUCUUUACUCGAUUUCAAACGUCCGCAAUAUAUCCAAUUCGGAAUAUUCGGAAUUUCACAUUAGGCUCAAACUCGAGACAUAUUUUAACAUAACCUCUGUUUUCGGUAAAUCUUUUGAGUUGUUAAUACUUUCCUUGUGGACAGAUGAAUCUUGAGUGAACGAACGAAUAGUCAUCAUAACUAUAGUAAUGUAUGAACCAAUGAUCCCAUUCCAAUCAAGAAUCAAAACUUACUCCACCCUAGGCCUAGCCACUACCUAGUUCCAUGCAACUGAAGACUGGAUCGGCCGAUUAAACGGCGCUCGACAAUUAACAAAACCAAAGUUACAGGCCAAAAAAUGUGAACUGGUGCAAAACCAUUGUUAUUUUACUAGCCAUGCUAGAUACCUGACAAAUAAAUGAACAUUCCACCCAGAAAGAGCACAAUGUAUCAUAAAAUGGAUAUGCAUCAUUGUCAACCUGCUCUUGAGUUGUCUCUUCCAAAAACCAGAGUUGUCGCCCAAUUCACCGUGACAUAGAAUCUAUUCCUCCAGCUAACUACCCUCGUGAGAUAAGCAGAACACCAAACCAGCCAACUCAUGAAUCGCACAUGCGAUAUUCCCUUUGUGUCUUGCAUAAAGAAUGUUUGCAUAAGUAACAGUUAUUAAUUCAGCGAAUUAUAAAAGUACGUGCACAUCAAAAUCUAGGUACUAGGAAAGAAAACCAUUAGUAUGUCAUGGUAGCAUGUUAUAUACCUUAGACUGGCAUAAAUCGACGAGCCCCUUGUAACGCCCCAUAGAAGCCAUGCUUCCCAAAUGUCUGUACACAAAUGGGUCUCCUAGAAGUAUGUCUUUUGAGCAAAAUGUUUUCCCUUCAUUUUGCUUCCCUAUCCUACGAAACAGCUCCUCCAAGAAUUUCCCUUCCCUUUCUGUGACCUAUUUCAGAAAUUAGUACUCAUGUUAUUUCCAAAGAAAGAAGGAAACAUAGCCUUUAUGCAACGAGAAAGCAAUAGUGAAUGACCACUUCUAAGUUCAAAUGGAAGGAUCAUGCCACUUCUUAUAUAGAGUAGAGCAAGGAAAUAAAGUUGAAGAUUAUAGAUCAAACCAAAAGCCACCAUGAGAUGUCUUUAAAGGAAUUAGACAGGGUGACUAAACCUAAGCUAAAGCAGGAAGCACCGGCCUCCCUCUCUGUUCAAGAAAACUCGCACAAUCUCCCAGCGCAAACACAUCUUCCACUAAAGGUACCCUCAACCAUUCGUCAACCCUGAUCCUAAAACAGUUGAGAGGACAAAUCAUUCGAUUGGAAGGUGGUGUGUCACGCCCUGAUCCUCGGGCGUGCGCCCAUCCCUUAACUGGUCGAUUUAUUUGCGACGUCCCAGGAAGGUCACCGACCCAUUCAUUUAUAUACGCAUGCGGAAGCUUAAUAAAAUCCCCAGACAAUCAAACAAUGAGAUAGAAAAGUACGAUCAUAUUUUUCAAACCAAGACGAGUCUUUAUAGACAAACUGGUUAAUUACAAACUUAGGCUGUUUACAAAAUUAACGGCUUGUCAAAAAGGGGACUGUCUUAACAUCCACUAGUCAAACCCAUUUGCCAAUUCUUCAACCUCCACCUUUCGAACUCCAGGCCUUUCGAUCCUCCACGAUCGUCAUCCAGGGACCUGAAAUAUUUUCCCCAAACCAGGAUGAGACUAUGUCUCAACAAGUUCUACCCCACUAAGACCCAAUUAGGAAGCCAAUACACCAUAAAGGCUGCCUAAGCACAACACAGGUCAAAGGGGCUUACCUUGGCAUCAGUUCCUUCCUGCACAUUAGUUCAAUUAAUAAUACUGAUAAUUACAGCAAUCAAUCACAUUCCACCAAUCAGAUCAACUCAGCGAUCAAUCGACUUAAUCGAUUACAUAUCACCACGACAUUUCCAUGGUCGGUACAUUCAAUACUAUUUAUAAAGUCCGACCAUAGUCUAUGAUUGCUCACCCAAAACUGAAAAUAGAUAGCAUAGCUCGCCCAAAGCUGAUAGAUAUAGUAUACUAUGUAUAUGCUCGUCCAAAGCUAAUAGAUUAGGGCCCCUAGGCCAAUUUAGUAAACUAUAAGUAUGUGCUCACCCAAAGCUGAUAAUAAGAUAUACUACUCACCCAAAGCUCACAUAUCGCCCGUAGGCUGAUAUAGUAUACCGGUAUACUGCUCACCCAAAGUUGACAUAUCGCACGUAGGCCAAUAUAGUAUACCACUCCAACCAUAUAGUCAAUUCAUCAUUUUUAUCAUUCACGAUAAAUAGCCGUGUGUGGGUACACGGUUAGCUUUAGCCAAAAAUAUAAUAAUUUUACUUACAAAUAUCCCACCAAUUUCAACAGUCCAUUACAUAUUUUUGGCGUUGUAAACUGACGCCUAGUUAUUUUUCCAUUAAUAACCAAAAUCAGAUCAUUUAGGAAUAAAUCCUAAAUUCACAAUUGAUUCAAUUCACCACAAAUUAACGCUCAAAUAAAUAAACGGACUGCACCACAAUAAUCAGCACAGAAUUUCGGUCAUCGGCCAUCUCAAUCUUAAUUUCCGAAAUUUAAUUAAUCAAUUAAUUAAUUAAUUAAUUUCGAAAAUUAAUAAUUAAUUACAAUAAAUUCAAUUUAGCUCAAAUCAAAGCUCAAUUAAAUAAACGGACUUCACCACGAUCAUCAACAUAAAAUUCCGGUCACCGACUAUCCCGAUCAAAAUUUCCAGAAAAUAAUAAAUAAUUAAAUUUAUUCCGAGAAUUAAAUAAAUAAUAUUAUAUUAUAAUAAUAUAAAUUCGAAAUAAUUAUUUAAUCCAAAAUAAUUAAUUAAGGCUUAAACAAGAUUACUUUAAUCCAAACAUUUACUUAGCCUUAAUUAAUUAUCCACUAAACUAAUUACAUCCCUUAAUCCACUUAACAUUUAAAUAAACUAAUCUAAUCACCUAAAUUUACUUAGUUUAAUCUAAACACCCCUUAAACGUGAUUAACCUACUAAGCGGGGAUUAGUGAGUUAAACUCACCCGAUUAGCGAUCCGAGCGGCUCAAAUCGACGAGGACGCCGAGGGGAUUGAUUCACUCCAAGGCGGGCCUAGCUUCUGGGGUCGGGAAGCCGACCAAAACGAGCCAAACGCCCGUUGCCAUACCCAUUUUUCCAGCUGCUGUCCGCUGCUGGUUGAGGCCGAGAAAGGGGUAGAUCCGAGUUCGGUUGGGGCAUGCAAGGGCCAAGAGGGGGUUGAGGCAGUCUCGGUGGGUUGAGGCGGAGGUGUACGGCGGCGGAGGGAGCUCCAACGAUGGCCCACAACAGCUGGGACGAGCUGAACAGCUCGCUGGAAUGUGCGUACCGAGACAGACGAGGACAGCUGGGCGUCAGCCAAGCACAGCCGAGUGAGGAGCAACGGCUAUGUGCAGGAUGGCGAGCGGCGACGGUGGCGGCGUGUGGCGGCUCCAAGCGACGUGCGGCUUCUUUGGCUUGUUGGGUUUCAUCGAGCAGCAACCAGAGAUGGAGGAAAGAGGGAUAACGGCGACACAGGGGAAAAGAGAGAGGCGGAGGUGCGACUGCUCCGACCAAACUAGGAGGCCAUAUGGAACAUCUGUACCAUCACUAGGAGGCCAUAUCAAGUGACUUGAUAAACUCUGAGGGUCCAACGCCGAUGGACCAGACUAGGAGGCCAUAUGGAACAUCCGUACCAUCACUCAAUACAAUUUUCUUUACAUUCACCUCUUUCACCACGCCUCUUUUAAGACAAACACUAGAUUAGCAUUGAAAGCAUUAAAUCAGCACCAAACUGAACAAGUUCAAUACCAAAACUUGGCACAAACAAAUACUUAAGUACCAAAAGUUAGGAAAGUGACAUUUAUGACACGUUUGGUAACGAUUCUGUUCCCUGGAGUAGAUUCUGAUAAAAAAAUUAUUCUUUUUUAUUAUGUUCCCGGGAAUAAAUUCCAAGCAUUUUAAGCCGUUUGAUAACUAUACAAAAUUUCUGAUUCUGGAAUAGAAUUACGUUUGGUACCAUACUCAUUAAUUCUAUUCCAAAUCAAUUUCUUUUAAUUUUUACUUUUUUCCUUUUUUUUCUUUUCUUUUUUCCUUUAUUUUUCUUUUCUUUUUUCCUUUUUUCUUUUUUUUUUCAUUUUUCUCCUAUUAUUCUUCCUCUUCUUGUGGCCAGUCGCCGGACUGGCAAUCGGCCAAACGAGGGCCGGCGACCUCAUCGAAGCAUCACUGGCCCUUGGCAAGGCCGACCCUCGUCGGUCGAGCCUUGCCAGUGGCCAAGCCAACCUCGCCAGGGCUGGGCGAGGCCCGCCUAGCCACCGGCAGGGCUGGGCGUCACGAGCUUCAUCGAUGGCCCAGCGAGGCUAGGCGAUCCUCGUCAGGGCUAGGCAGGUGUUGCCCAACCUCGACAAGGCUCGCCUGGCCACCAGCAAGCUCACCGGACCUCGCCCUAGCCUCCGGUGAGCUCGCCGAACCGACGGACGGCAUCAGAUGCUGGUGGGCGGUGGUGGACAACGAUCGCGGGAUGGCGGAAGGGAAGAAGAAAAAGAGUUGGUUUUAAUUCUCAAAUUUGUUCCCGGAACAAAAAUCAACUUUUUUUUUAUUCGUGAUUCCACUCCAAAUCUGUUCUCGGAAACAAAAAUUUUACCAAACGCAAUUAUGUUUCCAAACUGAUCCCGGAAACAAAAAAUCAGAAUCUGCCACUAUUUGGCACGUUGCCAAACAACCCCUUAAGUGCCAAAAUCAGAGCAAAAUAGAUUACUUAAGUGCCAACAACAAGAAAAUCCAGCCAAAAAUGAUGAUGUGGUGAUUUUCCGGCAAAGUAAGUGCAAAACGGUGUCGUUUUGUACACUAACGUGGCUAGACAAAUGCAAAAAUAACGCCGUUUUGCUACUGACGUAGGAAAAAAUUAAUAUGAAGAUUAAUUUAAUUAAAUUUAACACUAAAUUUAUUUAAAACAUUUUUAAAGAAAAGCCAAUGGAGGAAGAAAGCCGCCGAGGGCUGAGCCCUCACUGCUGCCGCCUCCUCCUCACUGCCGCCAGGAAGGGCUGACAACGAUGGGUGGAGGGUCGGCCGGGGUCGCCGAACCCUAGCCAAGGGCCAGUGACCCCAGCCGACCGGCGGCAAGGGCCCGCGGCCCUCCCCUAGAUCCAGGGCAAGGGUUGGCGGCCCUCGCCCGGCGGGCCAAAGCGGGAAGCACUAGCCUCCCUAGAUCUAGGGACACUUUUGAAAGAAGAAAAGAAAAAUGAAUUCACGAGUACUUCUCUGAAAAUUUCUUCUUUUCCAUUUGCAAGCUCCCAACAGCACCUCAUGUUCUUCUCAGGUUGCCCCGAACAAUUCUUGCAAAUGCCAUAGAGUAAAACACUAAUAAUUCAAAUGCAAGUCAAUAGCCUGUAUCUUUAGGCCUAUUGAUGAAAUUGCACUUGAGAAAAAAGAGAGGCUUGGGCUUAAUGCUAUAAGAAAAGCAGAAAGACAUAGAGAAAGAUUAUGCAAUCACUCCAUGAUAGCAGGAGGAGGUAAAGACAACAUGUAGAAGAAUUGGAGUUUGGUCCAAUCGAAAUGAAGACGAGUAAUUGGUGUGUGACAACUAUUUCUUCAAUGACUACUGGGACAAAAACCAAAAGCCAACUUAGCUUGGGUCAUCAACUGAUGGCACGUACAAUGAGAAAAUUUAUUGUGGUUUUUUAUAAGCCAAUAAAAGACAACAAAAAAUGCAUAUAUUUCUAGGGGCAAAAAAAGGCUUCAAGUGCCAUAACUUUGGCCAAAGGGACAGUUAAGUGUCAUAACUUACGAAAUGUACACUUAAGUGCCACAUUCGAAGAAAAACGGAUCACUUAAGUGCCACUCUGGCCAAAGUCCGACCAAAACGCUAACGUGGCAUUUUUCCGGCAAAGCGCGCCCAAAACAACACCGUUUUGCACGCUGACAUGGCGAAAUAAUGCAAAAACAGCAUCAUUUUGGGCUGACAUGGUAAAAAAAAAUUAAUUAAUUAAUUAAUUAAUUAAUUAAAUUUAGUUAAAAUAUUAAAAAAAUAAUUUUAAAAUUAAAUUUAGUUAAAAUAUUAAAAAAUAAUAAUUAAAAAAUUUUAAAAAAACUCUAAAAAACUUUAAAAAAUUUAAACAAAAUUCAAAAAAAAAAAAAAGGGAACGAGGGGGAGGCGGCUGAGGGAUCANNNNNNNNNNNNNNNNNNNNNNNNNNNNNNNNNNNNNNNNNNNNNNNNNNNNNNNNNNNNNNNNNNNNNNNNNNNNNNNNNNNNNNNNNNNNNNNNNNNNAAUUCAUAUGGGACUGCUUUGGACUAUGCAUGAACUCACUAAGAGUUUGGACUACGCAACAAAUAUCAAGUCUAGUCAUGCUCAAAUAUAUAAGUUUCUCAAUGAGCUUCUAAUAACUCCACGGAUCUCGAAGUAUAGGAUCAUCAUCUUGAGAUAUUCCCACAUCGUAAUCUGUCGUAGUUAACUUUGUGUUUUGCUUAAUUGGAAUAAUAGCAGGUUUGCAUCUUGAUAGACUUUCUUUAGAUACAAUCUCUAGUACAAACUUUUGUUGGCUGAGAGGAAUCCCUCGACUCCUUAAAGCUCUUUAUGGCAAUUAUGUCAUUUCCCAUAAUAAGUAUACCAUCAAAAUAUAUCAUCAAGAAGAUGGAUGACAUACAUUUUGUCCAUGUGAAUAAGGCAUAAUCAUAUAUGGAUUGGCCGAAACCUACAGCCACAAGAGCAUUGGCAAAUUUGGCAUACCAUUGCCAAGAGGCCUCUUUGAGGCCAUAAAGGGAUUUCCGGAGAUGACAUACCCUAUUCUCCCCUUGUCUCUGUAAUCUUUGAGGAAGUUCCAUAUAAAUUUCCUCAUCCAAAUCACCAUGAAGGAAAGCAUUAUUGACAUCCAUUUGGUGUAAUUCCCAAUCAUGAAGAGUUGCAACUGAUAAGAAAGAACAAACUGUGACGUCCUUGGCCACUAGAGAAAAGGUAUUAUGAUAGUCAAAACCUCCUCGUUGUGUGAAACAUUUAGCCACCAAUCGAGUUUUGUAACAUUCAAUAGAGCCAUCUACUUGAUACUUGAUUUUGUACACCCACUUGCAUCCAAUUGGCUUUCGGUGAGUGCUCCCAUGUUUGAUUUUCUACUAAGGCCUAUAAUUCAGCUUCCAUAGCUUUUUUUCCAUCGUGGAUCGGUGGAUGCCUCAUCAUAAUUAGAGGGUUCUUGUUCUUCUGAUAUACAGCCGAUGCAACACCUAUGUUCUAGAGAAAGUUGAUCGAAAGAAACAUAGGAUAAGAUUAGGUAUUAAUACUUGUGAGUUGAAUGCAGCACAAGACAUAGUCUUUAGUCCNNNNNNNNNNNNNNNNNNNNNNNNNNNNNNNNNNNNNNNNNNNNNNNNNNNNNNNNNNNNNNNNNNNNNNNNNNNNNNNNNNNNNNNNNNNNNNNNNNNNNNNNNNNNNNNNNNNNNNNNNNNNNNNNNNNNNNNNNNNNNNNNNNNNNNNNNNNNNNNNNNNNNNNNNNNNNNNNNNNNNNNNNNNNNNNNNNNNNNNNNNNNNNNNNNNNNNNNNNNNNNNNNNNNNNNNNNNNNNNNNNNNNNNNNNNNNNNNNNNNNNNNNNNNNNNNNNNNNNNNNNNNNNNNNNNNNNNNNNNNNNNNNNNNNNNNNNNNNNNNNNNNNNNNNNNNNNNNNNNNNNNNNNNNNNNNNNNNNNNNNNNNNNNNNNNNNNNNNNNNNNNNGGAUAUCUCAUAAAUAUACUACUCUGGGUGUGGGGACCCAUUUCAUCUGUCAAGGAUUCGAGUGGGCAUGCGAUUGAUCAAGUAAGUAGCCCUGACCACACAAUCUCCCUAAAAGGUUUCUGGAAUGGAGGCUUGGAAUUUCAGUGCACAUGCAACUUCCAAAAAAUGGCAAUGUUUGUGUUCCACUAUCCCAUUUUACUGCGAGGUGUAGGUCCAGGAACUCUCAUGUAGGAUGCCAUGAGAUGAGAAAAUAGAGGGACAAUGAUUGUUGAAAAAUUAUUUCCCAUUAUCAAUGUGAAUGCGCUAAAUAGAAUUUCUCAAAUUGGUUCUUUGAUAAGGAAAUGAAUAAUAUUAAAUGGGAGAAAGCUUGAUGUUUUGACUGCAUCAGGAUAACCCAUGUGGCACGAGAGUAAUCGUCCACAAUUGUCAGGAAAAAACAAGACACAUCACGAUGUGGUGUGUGAUAAGAUCCCCGAAUAUCAACAUGAAUUAAUGAAAAAAAAAACAUCACUAGCACGAGUCUUGCUAAAUGGAAAUGGAACAUGUGACUACUUUGCAAGCGGACAAAUAUGGCAUUGAGGAUAAGAAAAUAAAGCACUAUGGCCCAUUCUAGAAUGUAUGAGAAAAUUUCUAUCAUUGGUAGUCAAGUUACACAAUGAUUGUUUAUUCAAGGAAAUGCAAGACAAAUCUAAAGUGCUUGGAAAGCUAAUCCAAAAAAUAGCCCUUCAGAGAAACUACCCAAGCCCAUUAAUUUACUAGUCGAAAGGGCCUGAAAGAAAUAAGUAUCGAAAUCAAAGAGGACCAGGCAUGAUUUUUUUUUUUUUUUUUUUUUGCAAACUUUAGAUAUGGAAAUAAGGUUGAAUUGGAAUUCGGGGACAUAAAGGACAUUUUGUAGAGUGAUUUGGGAACUGAGAUUUAAUGUGCCCAUCAUUGUGACAUGAGUAACAUUUCCAUUUGGCAGUCGCACAAAAAUAGGCAAAUGUAAUUUUUCAUGGAUAACGGAAAAUAAAAUUUUAUCGCAAAUAAUGUGAUCACUGGCUUCUAAAUCAAUUAUCCAAGCAUUUCUCGAAAUAUAAUAUAUCAAGCAAUGAGAAAUACUUGAGAAAUUUCCCCUUUUGUUGGAAGUGCCCAAAUUCUAUAAUGCUUGCAUAAGCUACUGAUAUUGUCCAUACAUGAUGGGCUAAUUAGCAUUUGGACCAGUUGACCUAGUGACCUGGUAAGCAGCUAAAAUUUCUUUUUUCCUUCUUUCCCUUCUCUCUGGGUUUACCAUGCAAUUUCCAGCAAUUAUCGAUAGUGUGAUGCGGACGUUUGCAAUAUUCACAAAAUAAUUUACCUUUUCCCUUUGAGUUCUACCUAAAAUUCUUGGAUGACGUCGCAAAGAUCUAGCCAUUGGAUGCCUUAAUUCUGCUGCCGUAUCUACCAUCCUAUUCUGGAGAAGGAUCGCCAACCAUAAGCAGUCUAAUCUUUAGGUGCGAUCUGAGCUGUCCAUGGCUUGCCUUUUAUGGGUUCUUGUUUCAGCAAACCCUAAUGCCGCACCCUUUCCUUCAUUUAGGUUUUUGCACACAACCUCUCUCCAUUCACGGUGAGCUGCGAGCACGAUCCUAUCGGCUCCUUUUGCAUACUCCGACGAAGUAAGCCAUUGGCUUUCUUCCUGAACGGACAACUGGUAUAUUUUUCUGAGCGACAAUACCGAAUCCAUCACCAAGGUUUGAAAUUGGAACGUCAAGAAAAAUUCAUUCAAAAUCAAAAGGAAUCUUGUUGCCUUCUCUCUUUCUUUCAUCGCUUUGUACUGCUAUAGAGUUGUCUUGGUUCCCUCGAGCUUCUCCUCUGCUACCUCCAAUUCAUUCCAAAGAGAUAAUAGCUUUUUGAAGCAUGUCGUAAUAGACAUGUUUCCUUGCUUCAGAUAUGAGAGUGCUUGGGUGAGAGAGAAGAUUUUUACUUGGUCUAACUUCCCACACAUCUCAUUUAUGUCAUCCCACAUGAUUUUUGAGUCCUCUGUGGGAGGUAAGCAGCAAGGACGUUGCAGGGCACGAAGGGCGUGACCAGAAGAUGGACUAGGCUUAUUAGAGACUGCAGUUGUAGCAGCGGUUCGCGUGUGAGGAUGCGGAGGCAACGACUCUGCGACAGUGAGAAGCAGUGGCGGGUCGUCAUCCGAAGGCAGGAGGUGCGGUGCAGCAGCUUACGUUGGACUCGGGUAGUCGGCAUAGCAAGCGAAGCAGCGACUCGUCGCGAGUGGCUCGGUCAUAGUAGCAACAAGCUUCGCCGUCAGCGAGGAAAGAACGCCCGUCGGCCAGUAGGAAGAGGUGCCAAGGAAGGGGAUAACAGCAGGACUGUCACAGCCAUCGUCCUGGAAGAAAACGGCCAGGGGUGUCUCGGUCGAGGGGCUGGCCGAGAACCUCACUUCCACUCUCUCUCCAAUCACGUCUCGGCACAAUCUCUUUCGGCUCCGUUUAUAGAAAAUGCAGCAUUUUUGGAAAAUAUUUUUAGAAAAUUAGUUUUAAAAAAUGUAAAUAUUUUUCAGUGUUCAGAUGAAAUAUGAAAAUGAAGCGAAAGAUAUUUUACGUUAUUUGGUAAAUAAAAUCCUUUUUGCUAUACACUCAUUUUCAAUAAUUAUUAUAUUUUUAUUUUUAUUUUGUUAAAAAUGUAAAUAUUUUUUUGUUAUCUUUUAUCUUUAAAAAUCGAUUUUUAUUUCUUUAAAGAAAGUGGUUAUUAAUUUUUUUUCUUUCUUUUUCUUUUCUUUGUUUUCUUCUUCUUCUUUAGUCGAUCUUCGGCCCCAUCGAUGGCUAGCGACUAGCCACAAGCAAGCCUCCAGCUCAUUGGCUAGCAUGAGGCUCACCCACCUCUAGUGAGCUCAGGCUCGCCACUCACUAGAUGCAUUAAAGCCAAGGCUCGCUCGAUCGGCAGGUGAGAGCCUUUGGCUCAUCGAUUUGGCAAGGCUUGAGGCAAGCAAGCUCAAGGCUCGCCAAAUCGAUAAGUAGAGUCUCGCCACAAGCUCGAGCUCACCGAUUAUAGGCCUUUCCAAAUUUGGGAGCUCCGAGAUUGCCAGCCUCAAGCCUUGCUAGAUUGGCAAGCCUUGAGCUUGACACUUGUGCUCGCCAAUCUAGCAAGUGACGAGCCUAAGCUUGCAUGUGGCUAGUGAUUGGCCAAGAAAGAAGAAAAGGAAAACAAAGGAGAGAAAAAGAAAAAAAGAAAAGAAAAAUAAUAAUAAUUUGAAUAUUUUAAAAUAUGUAUAUAAAGAAGUGAGGGUUUAUAGGGGCGCAAAAUAAAAGAGAGCAAGUGGGAAAAAUGUUUUCCACUUUUCGAAAAUAAAUAACAUUUUUCCUUUUUUAGAAGACUUUUUUUUUUGCCUUAUUGGAAUAUGUUUUCACCAAACAAUUCAUUUUCCUUAAAACGAAUGCCGGAAAAUCUGGAAAAUGUAAACGAACUAAGCCUAAAUUUUAUUUUAUUUACCUUCUUUUUUACUCAUGACCAUGGACUUGUGAGAUUUUCCUUGACAACGCACUCUUUCUUGUUUUAAAAUAAGAAAUAUAUUACUCAAUAUGGCCCUCGUUGACUAAUCAUCUCCUUGCAAUCUAUAUAUAAUCUAUAUAUAUUUUCCUUGCAUGGAGAGACAAACUUGCAAAUCUUCCUUUUUUGUCCUUUAUUUCUUUCCCGCAACUAAAGGAUUCGGCCUCCUUCAUAUAUCAUUCGCAUGCCAAUUCUAAAUCCUUUUGCACAUAAUUUCAGCCAUCAAAGGAAUAAUGGGCUUGGUCAAUUUCUCUCUCAUCAUGGGCUUAAUCCAACUUGCAAAAUUAAAGCCUAGAACCAUUAAUUCAAACUUUCCGCUAGUCCAACACAAAUGCAAUGGUCAAAAAUUAUAAACUAAACAAUAAAUACUCCUAAAACUAUGUUCUAUGCAAUUUAAUUAUAAUAUUUUUGUUUAGGCAUUAAAAAUUAAUUCCUUAGUUUCUAUGCAAUAAUGGAUGACUGGGUUGCCACAAUGACUUCUACUACUAAGUUGAGUAACUAAAAAGAGAUUGUAAUUAAAAUUAGGGACAUGAUAGUUAGGAGAUAACAACAAAGAUCGAGAAUCAAUACGUAAAAAGGUUUUAUCAACUUAAAAGGCAAUAAAUGACCACUACCAACUAAGACUUUUGUCAAAUCAUAAAAGGGUCUAGAAUUUAGAAUUAUAAGAUACCACGUUGGAUCAUAGGUUUCAUUAAUCGAGAAAGUUGAGAAGGAGUUCGACAAAUCGGUGUGUCCUACCCCAUUAUAGAUCAAACAAGUAAGAUGAGACCUAGAUCCAAGAUUGCCUCCCUGUGUGAAUGGGGGAUGAUAGGGCUUCGAACCACCACGAGAUCAACUAGAGAAGAUGGAGGAUGAUCAUCAACGGGGUCGAUACUGAUUGUGAACAAAACCGAUCAUUGGAAAAUCACCAACUCGGUUGACCACUCAAAAACCAUUCACCUUUCCUGUCCGUAUAUUUGGCCUCUAGAAUUAUGUCCACCUUGAGAUCCUCAAAACAAGGGGUUAAAUGAAGUGGCGUGACUAAUCAAAGCAUGAUAAAUAUCGGAUAAAGAUGAUGCAUUCAAAUUUCCAGGAAAAUCAUUCCUCUUAGAUGAGAACGAAGAAGAAUUAUAGAGCCAUUUGUGACCAUGGUGAAAAAAGGAUCAUGCUCACACGGAGCAGUUGAUUACAUUGAGAGAGCUCGCAAUUGACUUAAGAUGUCAAAAAUAAUCAGACAUGGACUAAUCGGGUUUCUUGACAUUGUUAUGAAAGUCAAGCUUUUGUCCAAUUUCCCUAGCCGCCCAGCAUUCAAUAAAGUGCUGUCCUAGAGCAGCCCGAAUCUCCAAAAUGUCCAAAGGUCAUGAACUUCAUAGAAAAUCUCGAUUAUGAGAGUCGAAUUGAUCAAACUACAAACACAUUGAUUUGUCAUGACUCAAGUGGAAUAGGAGGUAUUAACCACCACAGUCCCAUUAUGGUCAUUGAUAAGCUUCAACUGACAUGGAAAGAGCAUCCACUUAGACCAUCAAAUAAUUGCAAAUUAGAAUAGCUUCGAAUUGAUAUUUCCAUAAAUUGAGAUUUCCACAAAAGGUAAUUUUCAGCAUCGAGUUUGAUGGAGUCAAGACUUGUGAUGGUGAGAAGAAUGAGAGAUGGUGAGGAUGAUUGCAUAGUUGUGAUUUGAGCGGCAACAGCAAGAUCGGAGCAAUGGAGAAGAGGAAGAAGAGGUGAAAAGGGACGCAAUGUUAUUAAGAGGUAAUGGGAAAUUGGGAUUAACAAAAAAAGAAGAUGAUAGGUAAAGAGAUAAUAGAGAAAAAUAACAAUCUGGAGAUGUAUUGGAUAUGUUGAGAUAGUAAUUGAAGCAAAGGAAGUUUGAUUAGGGGCAAAGAAGUUGAAUAUUUUGAUAUGUUUUCCCAAACAGAUACCAUGCUGAUAUUUAGAAUUAGAGAAAAAAUAACGAUAAACGAACAUAACAAGAAGAUGAUAGGUAAAGAGAUAUCAGAGAAAAAGAACAAUUUGGAGAUGUAUUGGAUAUGUUGAGAUAAUAAUUGAAGCAAAGGAAGUUUUUUUUUUUUUUUUUUUGUCGGUCAAGCAAAGGAAGUUUGAUUUGGGGCAAAGGAAGUUUGAUUUGGGGUAAAGAUGUUGAAAAUUUUGAUAUGUUUUCCUAAAUAGAAUAAGAGAGAAAAUAACGGUAAAGUGCUUGUGGUGGCUUAUCUCCAAUUAAAAUUAUAUCACAUGUAUUUAUAAGAGUGACUAAUUACAGUUUGGACAUAAAUAGAGACAUAAUUAAUAUAUAUAUAUAUAUAUAUAAAUUACACAUUAAUAGUUAAUGCACCUAAAGUGCUCUUUGAUUUGUUUACGUAACAAUGUAGGGAUAGGUUGUACCUAUUGUUGUGUUUUGUGUCUUGAUUUUAGCCAAACUUAAAAAGAUUUGACCCAAAUCUAAUCCCCACGAUGCAACUGAUCAUCAUAUGAAAAGAUCCAUAAGAAUUACAAAAAUGAAAAACAAGUGCAACCCUGAGAUAAAUAAUACCAUUAACUUUUGUGUUAUGCAUUGCAAUAAAUUUCAUCAUCAAUUCUUAAACGAAAUAGAAGACGAAAACCCAUUUGCAACUCCAUAAUUAGAGGGAGCUUUCGGAUUCACAUGAAGGCAAAGAGGAUACACCAGGAAGCUUCCCACAAUCAUAUCCUAUAAAACCAUUCACUACUCUACCCAAGAGGAGCCCAUAGAAUACGACAUCUCUUAGGAACCUCAUGAAUUGACUAGACCCAUCUUGUUGCACCCAUCCCGACAAGUACGAUGUUGUUAUCAGUGUCGCCGCCCUCGGUCUCCUCUCCUUUGCGUACCUUCCAAUAGCAAAUCCGAUAUCUCUGGUCACCAGUUUGCCGUGCUUGGCAAUUGAGUCCCUGAGGUGCCUACCCAAUGCCACCGCAUCCUCGAGAGCCAAACGCCCCCCUAGCCCAAGUCGGGAGUCAUCGGUUGCAUUGUCUCCAACCACCGUGACAUUUGAUCGGACUAGGUUUCCAAACAAAAUGUCCCAAGGAUGUCGGAACAUCAGUGGCGCCCAUGUCAAACUCAAAAGAUCGGAGUGCUUGACGACAUCGAGGUACACGGGUUGGAAGUCCUUUGCCAAAUUUUCCAUCACCUUCCUUUGUAUCAUUUCUGGAUCUGCUCCUUUUUCCAUACCUUUAUGAAUGGAAACGUUAGGGAUCAAGGAGGAUUAGUAAGCUACUAUUGAAGGAGCCAUCGUAACCUCAGCGGAAGAUAAAGUGGAAUAUAUAUGGUACCUUUAGGAGGACACACCUCUAUGAAGAACCAGAACACUUCCUUAUCAUUGAGAGCAAUAAAAACCUGCCCUCUUGCCCACAUUCACAAAAUGUUGAAACACAUGGCCAUGGUCAAAACCAUGACCCUUUGGGAAUACGGACAACCACGUACUGCCGACCGGCCUGAAUAGAUUGGCGGGCAAAGUCCAAGCCAAUGGGCCAAGAUAGAGUGCACGUCAUCGUAUCCUAUAACAACCUACAUGUAUAGUACUUACAGUGUGGAUAAGUUAACCUCAUCAUAUUUGAAUUCAAAAGAAGGUUCUCUAGAAAUUGUAGGGACAAGCUCAUGCUUGGCAGCGUCAAUUCCAGUGCAGGAAGCCAAAUAGAAGUACGAAUUGGAGUUGCCGCAAGAGCAGGCUGUAUCCGGUUCACGUGCUCUGCGACAGAACGGAACUCCAAAGUUCCAACACAUGUCGAUGGAAGAAGGGGAGUGAAAACCAUGUGAUUUCGGGGGGAAACGCACACGAUAUCAUAUAUGCUCAUAUCAAGCCCCUUCAUAAACAGGCAAGCCGCCCAACCGGUACCAAGAACGACCACCCUUGGCUUUUCUCCAGGCUUAGUCGGUUCAAGACCUGGAUAUCUGUCCCUCUCAUAUUCAGAAUCGGACUCUGCCAAUGCCCUCUCGCGACGGGAAAUUGAUCAAGUGGGGUUGUCCUAAUUCCUCUGCUCCAGUUACUAGCAUAAUCUAACUUACUCGAUGGUAAGCGGUCGAAAAAUCCCUUCUCAUGGGGAAACUUUUGAAAGAAGAAAAGGAAAAUGAAUUCGCGAGUAGUACUCUAAAAUUUCUUCUUUUCCAUCUGCAAGGCUCCCAACAGCACCUCCUGUUCUUCUCAGGUUGCCCCAAACAAUUCUUGCAAAUGCCAUAGAGCAAAACACUAAAAAUUCAAAUGCAAGUCAAUAGCCUGGAUCUUUAGGCCUAUUGAUGAAAUUGCACCUGAGAGAAAAGAGAGGCUUGGGCUUAAUGCUAUAAGAAAAGCAGAAAGAUGUAGAGAAAGAUUAUGCAAUCACUCCAUGAUAUCAGGAGGAGGUAAAGACAACAUGUAGAACAAUUGGAGUUUGGUCCAAGCAAAAUGAAGACAACUAAUUGGUGUGUGACAACUAUUUCUUUAAUGACUUCUGAGACAAAAACAAGAAGCCAACUUAGCUUGAGGCUUGGGCUUAACCACCGUCUUCGCCCACUUCUCCUCUGGCCUCCAUAGCCUCUGCCCGCCUCCUCCCUGUCCAACUCCUCCCACGCCCCCUGCGCCGGUGGAGGUCGAGGCCCCCCGCCGCAUGGACAACCCGCGCCACCACCUCGCCCGCUGCCUCUGCCGACCACUUGGAUUCAACACCUAAGACUUGAGCUCGAAUGACGGAGGACCGAGACGGCAGUGAGGCGGUGGUGGAAGGCGAUUCACGGGGGUUAAAGUUGACGACAAGUCUGAGUUGAUGUAUGUCUGUUGUCGUGAAGAGAAAAAAAAAUAAAAAGAAAAAAAAUCAAAGGGAGAAAGGAUGCAGGGGCUUCUGGUGGGUGGGUCCGAAUGUGACUGUGCCAUUUUGGCGGUCACAAAUCAAUUAAAUUCUUGAAACUCACUCAUAUCGGGGUAUAAACUUUAUUUUUCACAUACAUCAUAUAAAAUACACGUAUUUAGGGUUUCGUAUGCAUUUUCACAUCUAUAAAAUCAUCAAACAUAUAAAUAAAUACACCACAACAUAGAGAAUAAUCAUACGAACCAGUAGCCGCAAACCGUGCGCCCGCACGAGCCGCCUGAGUGCACGACGCAUGGAGCACACGCGCGACCAUAAAGACCCCUCAGAUCCAGUCCGACCAGUUCCUGGCUCGACCGUCCGGUCCAACCGUCUGAUCCAAUCGGUUGACCGGUUUGGUCCACGGUUGACUAGUUCGGGCGGGUCAAUGGGUCGUGUCAGCCCCAAGGUCGUUGACGACAUUGUGACAACCGCCCUUGUGCGUGCAACACACGCAUGAGCGGCGCCUGCGCGUGGGUCGGAUAUUGAAUGGUUUUGGAUAGGAUUGACGUGGCAUUACUCGUGCACUUGAAUGGCCUGAAACGACGAAGAAAUGGUAAGACAAUGGAGGAAAAUCAAAGGAAGCAGGGGGAGGGAGCAAGAGAUAGAUCGAUCUUGGAUCGUCGGGUUAGAAAAGAAAGAAAAGAAAAAAAAAAAUCCUCUAAUGUUAAAUUUCUCCUUUUUUUCAAAAUGUUAAAUUAAAUCUCGAUAUCACAUGAAAUUUUAUGAAAAGAAAUUAUGAAUUUAAACUCGAUGGUUUGCCUCACGACAAUCGAAGGAGUUUUCCUCGUGACUUGGUAACAGGCGCUCCAAAGGGCCAAGUAUCAAGACCAAGCAUGCAUGGAAAGUCAUCUUUUUUUCUCAAGAUUAUUUUAUUUGCUUAUACUGUCAAAGAAAAUACAAUGUAUGACUUGCUGUAUUUUAGUGCACCGUUCAUGAAAAAAAAAAGUGGGAAAUCUCUUUUUGUUUGAAACUUAAAGAAGAAGGUCAAGGGUGAACAAGUUAUAUUUGGUUAGCCUUUAUUUAAAUUUCACGUAAUUAUAAAUAAAAAAAAAAGAUCUUGAAACCAAAUGAAAUAUAAUUAUCGAAUUGCUACUUUAAAAAAAAAAGGAAUCACGCGAAGAAAGAAAAGUCCAUGUUUGCAAACGUCUGUGCUCUUGCGUUUCGCCUUCUGCACAAGAAGGUCCGGAGGGCGGCGCCCAGGACGCCAAGAGACCAUUAAGCCCUCGGCUCUUCACCUCGGCCAAGAAGUCAAGGGGAGGGUAAUUAUGGGAUUUCUCCUCCUGAUUCCUCCCCCCGGCCCCCAAAAAGUAAAAAACAAUCACGAGGUCAAAAGUGGGGAAGACAAUAAUGUUUGACGGCGGCGCUUGGUUGGAAUUUAAGAAAAAGCUAUUCGGUCUGCCAAUGACAGAAGGCACUUCAAUCCAACGAAUCUUGUUACUUAAUUAUAAUUUUUAUUAAAUACAUCAAGAAAAGUACAGUAUUAAUUGAGAAUCCGCAUAUCCACCACACUAUCAAAUAAAUAUCAACCCAAACUUAAAAAGAUCCUACCCAAACCUAAUCCUAUGAUGCUCUUGAUCAUCAAGUGAAAAGAUUCAUACAAAAUAAAUAAAAAAUAAAAAAAACAAGUGCAACCCUGAGACAAUCAAUACGAUGAACUUUUGUGUUAUGCAUUGCAAUGAAUUUCAUCAUCGAUUAUUAAAUAAAAUAGAAGACCAAAAUCCGAUUGCAACUCCAUAACUAGAUGGAGCUUUCAGAUUCACAUUAAGGCAAAGGGGAGACACCAUGAAGCUUCCCACAAUCAUAUUUUGCAAUACCUUUCACCACUCUACCCAAGAGGAACCCAUAGAAUACAUCUCUUAGGAACCUCAUGAAUCGAUUAGACCCAUCUUGUUGCACCCAUCCCGACAAGUACGAUGCUGUUAUCAGUGUCGCCACCCUCAAUCUCCUCUCCUUUGUGUACCUCUCUAUAGCAAAUCCGAUGUCUCCGGUCACCAGUUUGCCGUGCUCGGCAAUGGAGUUCCCGAGGUGCCUACCCAAUGCCACCGCAUCCUCGAGAGCCGAACAUCCCCCCUGGCCCAAGUCAGGAGUCAUCGGGUGCAUAGCGUCUCCAGCCACCGUGACGCUUGAUCGGAAUAGAUUUCCGAAUAGGAUGUCCCAAGGAUAUCGGAACAUCAGGGGCGCCCAUGUCAAACUCGAAAGAUCGGAGUGCUUAAUGACAUCGAGGUACACAGGUGGGAAGUCCUUCGCCAAAUUUUCCAUCACCUCCCUUUGUAUCAUUUCUGGAUCUGCUCCUUUUUCCACACCUUUAUAAAUGGAAGCGUUAGGGAUCGAGGAGGAUUAGUAAGCUAGUAUUGAAGGAGCCAUCGUGGUUGGGAAUCUCAGCAGAAGAUAAAAU
rnacentral:lncRNA from 1 species